rnacentral:lncRNA from 1 species
CCAUUUCCACAAUCAAACCUAUUUAUACCACUCAUUUCCGCCCUAAAUUUCUUGCCACAAUUCUUCUUCUUCCCUGAAAAACCCCAAAGGAAGAAGAGAAAAGCCUCUCAGAUCUCAUCUUAAACCCUUUCUUUUCUCUUAUACUCGCCUUACCCAUGGCUCUACUCGUUGAGAAGACCACCUCUGGCCGCGAGUACAAGGUGAAGGACAUGUCUCAGGCUGACUUCGGCAGGCUCGAAAUCGAGCUUGCUGAAGUUGAAAUGCCUGGUCUCAUGGCUUCACGUGCUGAAUUUGGCCCUUCACAGCCCUUUAAAGGUGCAAAGAUCACUGGAUCUCUGCAUAUGACUAUCCAAACUGCUGUCCUUAUUGAAACCCUAACUGCUUUGGGUGCUGAAGUUAGAUGGUGUUCUUGCAACAUCUUCUCAACUCAGGACCAUGCUGCAGCAGCCAUUGCACGUGACAGUGCUGCUGUCUUUGCCUGGAAAGGUGAGACUUUGCAGGAGUACUGGUGGUGUACUGAGAGGGCACUUGACUGGGGUCCAGGUGGUGGUCCUGAUCUGAUUGUUGAUGAUGGAGGUGAUGCUACUCUGUUGAUUCAUGAGGGAGUUAAGGCUGAAGAGGAGUUUGCUAAGAAUGGAACAGUCCCAGAUCCCACUUCUACUGACAAUGUUGAGUUUCAACUUGUGCUUACUAUUAUUAAGGAGAGCUUAAAGACUGAUCCAUUAAGGUACACUAAGAUGAAGGAGAGACUUGUUGGUGUUUCUGAGGAAACUACCACUGGUGUUAAGAGGCUUUACCAAAUGCAGGCUAAUGGAUCUUUGCUUUUUCCUGCUAUCAAUGUUAAUGACUCUGUUACCAAGAGCAAGGUAUAUUAUAUGUGCUUUCUAACUUAUUGUUUUGAUUCUUAUGCUUCAGAUCUAUGUGAAUUGGUUGUGUGUAGUGUUCAUGUGCUAGUUAUACAUAUAGAUCUGUUAUGAAAUGAUUGAUAAUUGCUUGGAUCUGAUACAGAGGAACUAUACUGUUAACUUAAUGUUGAUUGAUUUGUACUUAUUGUACAAGUGCAAUGUAUAUUUGAGUUGAAUCUUAUUAAUGAAUCAUGAAUCUUCUACUGUUUUGGUAAUGUUUGAGGAAUAAAUGCUAUUGCCUUUUGAAAAGCUAAAAGUUUUCAUCUUUUCUAAUUGGAGUGCGUGGUUAUAUAGUCACUGAUUAGAAAAUUUUGUAAGAUAUUUAUGUGAUGAUGCAUAUUUCACUAGAUCCGUAUUGUUAAGCAUAGAAAAGAUGGUUUCUAAAAUGUCUGAUCUUGUUACAUGAAGAAAUGGUACUUAUUUAACCUCAUAAGUUCAUGACUUUAUUGUAUUGAUUGUUUGCUUAAAGUGGAAGAAUGGUGAAGUGUAUAGUUUUUCACUUGAUUAGUUGAAGAAUGACAACUUGAUUAGCUUAGAUAGGUUUACUUAUAGCUCCAUUUGGAAAAGCUAUUUACAGUAGAUGCAUAAAGUAGUAGAUCUUGAUUAUUAUAUUUAUACCAGGGUCAUGUUUGUUAUUAAGCUCAUUGAUUGACAAUUGUAUUGAUCUGUUUGGUUUGCAGUUUGACAACUUGUAUGGAUGCCGCCACUCACUUCCCGAUGGUCUCAUGAGGGCUACUGAUGUUAUGAUUGCUGGAAAGGUUGCUCUUGUUGCUGGUUAUGGAGAUGUCGGCAAGGGAUGUGCUGCUGCCAUGAAACAAGCUGGUGCCCGUGUGAUUGUGACUGAGAUUGACCCAAUCUGUGCUCUCCAGGCUACCAUGGAAGGCCUCCAGGUUCUUCCUCUUGAGGAUGUUGUUUCUGAGGUUGAUAUCUUUGUGACCACCACCGGUAACAAGGACAUCAUCAUGGUUGACCACAUGAGGAAGAUGAAGAACAAUGCCAUUGUCUGCAACAUUGGUCACUUUGACAACGAAAUCGACAUGCAUGGUCUUGAAACCUUCCCUGGUGUGAAGAGGAUCACAAUCAAGCCACAAACCGACAGAUGGGUCUUCCCAGACACCAACAGUGGCAUCAUUGUGUUGGCCGAGGGUCGUCUCAUGAACUUGGGAUGUGCCACUGGACACCCCAGUUUUGUGAUGUCUUGCUCUUUCACUAACCAAGUCAUUGCCCAACUCGAGUUGUGGAAUGAGAGGAGCAGUGGCAAAUACGAGAAGAAGGUGUACGUCUUGCCAAAGCACCUUGACGAGAAGGUUGCUGCCCUUCAUCUUGGAAAGCUCGGAGCCAAGCUUACCAAACUCACCAAGGAUCAAGCUGACUACAUUAGCGUACCUGUUGAGGGUCCUUACAAGCCUGCUCACUACAGGUACUGAGGGGAAGAGACGCUCACAGUGGAACAACGAUACGGCGGCAUGAUUGUUUUGUUUUUAAUACUUUUAUUUUGUUUAGGUAGUGUGUUUUUAUUUUUGUUGGGGGAUAUUUUGCUGGAAAGUUGACCUAAAUGUGUUUGAAUAAUAUUUGAAUUAUGGUUGGGGUGGUGUCAUAUGAUAUUGUACCAAGUUAGAUUCAUUUGCUUUCUUGUUUCUAUAAAAUUUGCUUCAAGGAAACAAAGCAUCAUGUUUUUCAUUUUCACUACAUCUUUGCUUUAUUUACUUGAUGUUAUUGCAAUUCUUCUCUUAUUUGGCUUCUGUUUAUGCAUCCAUAUGAGAGAGUUCACUUCUAAGAGGGAACAUAUGGUUGACUCCUAGUGAAGAUUUGCGUAGUCUUUGAAAUUUAUAUUUGUGACUUUCGAAAAGCAUAAUAGAGAUGAAAGGAGUAAAUUACUGUACUUUUUAAAUUAAACUUUAGGGAUGGGAACCACCUUGGGGAUUAUCACACCUCAGCACUCAAAAUAACUCCUUUUUGUGAAUAAAACUCCUUUCGUUUCACAAAGAAAUUUAAGAAUAUAAAGUAAUUUUUGAAUUUUAUGAUUCUAAAUUGGAAUUUGAUUAAAUACAAAAUUGUACUUUGAUUUACUGACCUUAAACACGUCACAAGAGGCCAUUCUUUUCGAAAUAAACUAAAAAAAAAAGUCAUUCUUUUUUAAACGGAGAGAAUAUCAAAAAAAAAGAUGUCCUUUCGUUUCACAAAGAAGUUUAAGAAUAUAAAGGAAUUUUUGAAUUUUGUAAUUCUAAAUUAGAGUUUGGUCAAAUACAAAAUUUUAUUUUGAUCUACUGACCUUAAACACGUCACAAGAGGCUAUUCUUUUCAAAAUAAACUAAAAAAAAAAUCAUUCUUUUUUAAAUGAAGGAGUAUAAAAAAAAGAUGAAAGAUUCUUAAUUUUUUUUUUCUAAUUGUACAAAUAAUUAACUACAUUGAGCAUAAAUCUCUCUUUACAUCAUUUAAAAUGAUGACACACUUGAAUUUUUUUUUUUUUUGGGAGAAUUUGAAAUUUCAGAUCAUAAAUUUGAGCCCCAUUUAGCCAAAACAAUAAUUUGUAUGUACACUUCUUCUAACUAUUUUGUGCAAUCUAAAAGGACCUCAAAUUUGAGAUAUUUGGGUGAAAAAGUUGAAUGCUUGUUGGAAAAGAAAUAGCUUUUUUAAAGGGAGAACAAAACAAAAUUUGCUUGUAAAAAAAUAAAGUAAUUAUAAACUUAUUUGCCUAAAAUUAAAUGAUCUUUCACCAACCACCACCACCAAAUUUUCUUUGUUUUUUUCAACUUCAUUUCACCUAAUGCUAUCCAAUUAGAUAAGAUAGUCUAAUUAACCAUGGUUUAAUAAAAGAAACAUCAUGCAUCUAUUAAUUAUGGUUUGAGUUCGAGUUCUAAUAUAUAUGUAAAAACUUGAUAGAAAAGAAAAUCCUUCUGUUUUGAAUGAAUAUUAUGUAAUGGAAAAUCGAAUUAAUUGAACUCUAAAUAUCAACAAAUAUAUAGGGAAAUUUUAUAAGUGAGGUUUGUGAGAAUAGAGUAUAUGCAAAUUUUAUUAUUAUCAUAUGGAGGUAGAUACACUAUUUUCAAAAGACCGUCGACUCUAAUACAACUAUUUAAAUAUAACGAGAAAAUUAUGAUACGCCACAAAAAAUAGUAUCAAGUCUACUAAAAAGGAGCAACAACAAUAAUAAAAGAUGCAUCAAUUGAAACGUAAUAAAUAAUAAAUAUACUAAGAUAGAUUAUUAAAAACGAUGAUGUAGUAAAGUUUGAAACUAAUUUUAUUCUUUGUAAGGAAAAAUUGUAGUACUUUCUCCGUUUCACAAAGAAUGAUCUAAUUUGACUUAACACGAAGUUUAAGAAAAUAAAGAAGACUUUUGAUCAUGUGAUCUCAAAUUAAAGUUAUGUCAAAUGUAUAAAAUUACACUUUAAUAUUGUGGCCUUAUAUAUGUUAUCUAGAAAAUUAUUACCAAAAAAAAGAAAAAUAUAAUUUUUUUGAAACACUGAAUCAGAAAAAAAAUAAAAUUGUAGUCACUAUUGUGAGUCACUUUAAUUAAAGACAACAUGGUCCUUUUGCCGCACCGCAAUUUGGAAAUUAAGAUGUGCACUUAUAGUAGCUAAUUCAAUUUUAUUGGGUUCAUGUGGGAGACGUUAAAAUAAUCGUAUUGUUGAAUAUUUUAUCUUUUUUACUUUUAAUUUAAUAGAGUGUUUUUAUAACAUGGUAAAAAAUAUCGCUUAAUAAAUCACACAUUUGAAAACAUGAACAAUAGCCUGACACAAGUAAACAUGCAAAGGUUUCGACAUGUAAAAGGGGAGUUCUUGUGAGCAUAGUUCAUAUUCAUUUAUCUCUAAAAUGUAUAAGGUGGAGGCUCAACGUAUAAUUUUUGAGACUCAUUUUAGCUGUGCUCAAACAUUAUUCAUUAUUUUCUCGAGGACAAUUUUUCUUAAUUAUACCUAUACUGAUUGCCACGAAUAUUAACAUUUUUUUUUCAAGGUAAUGUUUGAUUUCCUGAAAUAUGUUACAUUUGAGAGAAAAAAGAGAUUAAUCAUUGCAUUCAUCCAUAAAAUACAAUGUUAUAAUUUGGUUCAUGAACUAUCAUUGGUAUCUUGAUCACAAAUAUAUCUUUCCAUUAAUGUACAAAUUUUACACAAAAAAUACAAUAAAAACCUUCAGAGCUUUAUGGAUCAAUUGCUAAAUGUAAGACAAAUUCAAACAAAUCGUAUUUAGAAUGAAUAGGUUAAAAAUAUUUGAACUAUUAUACUUUCACGAGUUACAUGUAUCUAAUAGCCGUAUGUUCCUUUUAUAUCACCAAACAAUAAUUUCGUGUAUAUUAAAAAACCCACCAUCACAUAACUACAUGUGUGUCUAUUACACACCCAAUUUACCUAAAAACAAUGCCAACUAACGAGGGGGUUUUAUUAUAGAGAGAAUUAUUAUUCCAAGCGUUAAUAUAUUGAGAUCUCUUUCACUCUUAAUCAAAUAAAAUUCGAAAUCAAAAAAUGAAAAAUGCAAGGGAGUAUUAAUUACAAGAAAAUAUGCUACUACAUCAUCCUUUCUCAUUCGUGUCUGAUAUUCAUAUUGAAGUCUAACUAAUUCAGGUUCACAUCACAUAAAAUCUCGUUCAUAAAAAAAUAUUCAAAUAUAAAUGAGAUUUGAUUAAGCAAAAUGACUAAUCUUUUUCUACCCCAUCAUCGCUACCAACCAACCAACUCCUAGAAAUAAAUUUAAAAACAUCACCUUAAUGAAAAAAUAAACUAAGCACUUCCAAUUUUGAAAAGAAAAUACAUUCAUCCAAUCAAAAUUUUAGAUAUUUUUUAUUUAUCAAAUUUGUAGGUCUACCAAACCUCAAUUUAAUCCAAUCAACUAUUCAGAUCUGAAACAAAUCUUGACCGUCCAUUUCCAUCAGAGAAGCCUAUUUAUACCAAUCACUUCCUUCCCUUAUUUCUUGCAACACUCUUCUUCUUCCUUAAAACCCAAAGGAAGAAAAGAAAAUCGCCUCUUUCUGUCAAUUUCAUCUCAAAAUCUCCCAUUUUCUCUCAGUUUUUCUCUUAUACUCGCCUUACCCAUGGCUCUACUCGUUGAGAAGACCACCUCUGGCCGCGAGUACAAGGUGAAGGACAUGUCCCAGGCUGACUUCGGCAGGCUCGAAAUCGAGCUUGCCGAAGUUGAAAUGCCUGGUCUCAUGGCUUCCCGUGCUGAAUUUGGCCCUUCACAGCCCUUUAAAGGUGCAAAGAUCACUGGAUCUCUGCAUAUGACUAUCCAAACUGCUGUUCUUAUUGAAACCCUAACUGCUUUGGGUGCUGAAGUUAGAUGGUGUUCUUGCAACAUCUUCUCAACUCAGGACCAUGCUGCAGCAGCCAUUGCACGUGACAGUGCUGCUGUUUUUGCCUGGAAAGGUGAGACUUUGCAGGAGUACUGGUGGUGUACUGAGAGGGCACUUGAUUGGGGUCCAGGUGGUGGUCCUGAUCUGAUUGUUGAUGAUGGAGGUGAUGCUACUCUGUUGAUUCAUGAGGGUGUUAAGGCUGAAGAGGAGUUUGCUAAGAAUGGAACAAUCCCAGAUCCUAGUUCUACUGAUAAUGUUGAGUUUCAACUUGUGCUUACUAUUAUUAAGGAGAGUUUAAAGACUGAUCCUUUAAAAUACACUAAGAUGAAGGAGAGACUUGUUGGUGUUUCUGAGGAAACUACCACUGGUGUUAAGAGGCUUUACCAAAUGCAGGCUAAUGGAACUUUGCUUUUCCCUGCUAUUAAUGUUAAUGACUCUGUUACCAAGAGCAAGGUAUGUGUGUUUUGCUUACUCUGUUUUUGUUUCUUGUGUUUCAGAUCUCUGCAUUUUUGUUUUGUCAAUUACUGUUUGAAAUACAGAUCUUAUAUGAAUAGUUAUAUAUUUUCUUGGAUCUUAUACAGAUGAAUUAUACUUGAACUUAAUAAUGGGUUGAUCUAUACUAAGUAUAGUAUCAGUAAUCAGUCGAAAUUUAUCCAAGAAUCUCAUUCCGGUAGAUUAUUUGUCGUAGUGGACUUUAGUAGCUUAAAGUUCACCAAUUGGAAGAUUGUCACUUGAAUUAUAAUAGGAACAUAUUUCAUUUGAUCUUUCUUGUUAAUCUGAUAAUAGAUGGUUACUUAAAUGUCUGAUCUUUGGUACAACUUUCCACUUACUAAUAUGCUGAUGAAUUGCAGCUGUGAUUAGGUUAGAUAUGUAUACUUAUAUGUCCUGUAAUUGGCUAAUGGAAGUCUGAUUCAAUUAAGAUGCUUGUUGUUGUAGAUCUUGUUUAGAUAAGAUAAUGUUAGCUUAUGGACUGAUGGUUGUAUUGAUUCUUUUGGUGUUUCAGUUUGACAACUUGUACGGAUGCCGCCACUCACUUCCCGAUGGUCUCAUGAGGGCUACUGAUGUUAUGAUUGCUGGAAAGGUUGCCCUUGUUGCUGGUUAUGGAGAUGUCGGCAAGGGAUGUGCUGCUGCCAUGAAACAAGCUGGUGCACGCGUUAUUGUGACUGAGAUUGAUCCAAUCUGUGCUCUCCAGGCUACCAUGGAAGGUCUCCAGGUUCUUCCUCUUGAGGAUGUUGUUUCUGAGGUUGAUAUCUUUGUGACCACCACUGGUAACAAGGACAUCAUCAUGGUUGACCACAUGAGGAAGAUGAAGAACAAUGCCAUCGUCUGCAACAUUGGUCACUUUGACAAUGAAAUCGACAUGCAUGGUCUUGAGACCUUCCCUGGUGUGAAGAGGAUCACAAUCAAGCCUCAAACCGACAGAUGGGUUUUCCCAGACACCAACAGUGGCAUCAUUGUGUUGGCCGAGGGUCGUCUCAUGAACUUGGGAUGUGCCACAGGACACCCCAGUUUUGUGAUGUCUUGCUCUUUCACUAACCAAGUCAUUGCCCAACUCGAGUUGUGGAAUGAGAAGAGCAGUGGUAAAUACGAGAAGAAGGUAUACGUUUUGCCAAAGCACCUUGACGAGAAGGUUGCUGCCCUUCAUCUUGGAAAGCUCGGAGCCAAACUUACCAAACUUACCAAGGAUCAAGCUGACUACAUUAGCGUACCAGUUGAGGGUCCUUACAAGCCUGCUCACUACAGGUACUGAGGGAAGACAAUUUGACAGUGGAACAAUAUUGUCGCGGCAUGAUUAUUUUGCUUUCAAUAUUUUGAGUUUGUUUAGGAUGAUAGUGUGUUUUGAUUAUUGUUGGGGAUAUAUUUGUGCAUGUUUUGCUGAAAGUUUGAAAAAGACCAAAAUGUUUUAAAUAAUAUUUGAGUUAUGGUUGAUGGUGUUCCAAGUUACCUUCAUUUGCCUUUGUGUUAUGAUUUUGGUUCUUGAAUUCAAUGUGAACUAGUGACACCCUCGCUUAAAGAAGGGUCCCAUGUCAACGUACAAGUAAUGUUGGGUAUAUAAGUAAACUAACCUUAUAAUAACGCACUUUAAACCCACCACGCAGGCCCAAGGCAAAGAGCGAACAAUAUUACUAGCGGAUUAACUUGAAAGACUAUUUUGGUGGAAAGGAAAUCCCAUGGCCACCAACCACCACCUAAUUUUCUUUGUUGUCGUUUUAAGCCUAACUUUCACCUGCCAAAAUCCAAAGAGAUAAGAAAGCAACCGUUCAAUUGUUUAAUAUACUAACAUCUAGUUUGAAUUUAUAGUUUGUUUGAUAGAGUGCAUAAAAAUAGUUUGAUUUGGUGCAAUAGGAGCAAUUUUAUACAAAAGAUGAACAUAGUACAUAAAUCUACUUUUUAAUUUAAUUUUUGUUUAUAUCAGUGCGUCCAAUUUUAGAUAUGGACAAGUAUAUAUAUAUAUAUAUAUAUAUAUAUAUAUUGAUAACAUCAAUAAUUUGAAGAGACAAAUGUGUCCCUUCUUUAAGUUCAUCCUUUGCUUCACAUAUGAAUAUGUUUACAUUAUAAUUCGAGAUAACUUUCAGUCAAAAAUCUAAAAUAAAUCAAAUAAAUUGAAACGUGAGCAUAUAAAGAUUAAUCAUGACAGAUAUUUUUUUAAGUAAAAUUUUUCCCAAUCUUUGAUUCCAUUACAUGAUUCGCAUGCUUCGUAUAAUAAUAAUAAUAAUAAUAAUAAUAAUAUAAAAGAAGCACUAAUCAUGAAAUUAUUCCACGUUAAUCAGGUAUUAACAACUUUUAAGUAAAAAUUUUCCGAAUGUUGAUUCCCAUGUGUUUCAUAUUAAAAAAGCAAAGAUUAGCAUUUGGGCCAGUAGGAUUAGGACACGUUUCACGUUAUACUUUCCUUAAUUAGACAAAUUUGUUGGAUUCCACAAACAGAGAGAUUAUUAUGAAAUAUAUAAAACCAAUCAUGUUUGCCUUUGACAUUUCACAAUUCUAAAACUUCAACAACCUUGAAUUCUUAAUUUCAGGUAAUACUAUGAAUUUUAUCAUUUAUAUACAUAUUUUUAUUACAUUUUGUUAGUAUUUAUUAUCUUCAUGUAUUUUAUCUAACAUUUACCUCGGAUCUUAUAAGCUUAACAAUCCUCACUUCAUGAAUUGACUUAAUUUUAUGAUUGAGUUAGGUCCGAUCAUAUUACUAAAAAUUGAGGCUAAUUUAUAUUGUAAAAUAUGUAAUUUUUUAUUCAUUUUUUCACUGGAUCAAUUCAUGCCGUGAAACAGAUUCUUACUGAAAUACUAAAAAAUAUCUUAAUUUGUCCUUAUGAAAACACUAGUAUUAUUUUUCUUCUCUCAAAAUAUUUAUAGAAAUAGCCACCGGAAAUUUUUCAGGGGAAUUCAAAGAAAAAGUAAUAACUUUUUAGCUGUGGAUGUUUUAUUUUUUCUUGUCAUGGUUGGUAGCGGUUAGACUUUCCUGUUAUAUUGUUCACGCUUUAUAUAUAAUAUAUCCUACUUUGAGGCAUAUUUGUGUUAAUUAGAAUAAUAUUCCAUAAUUUUCGAAUAAACUAAUAUCUUCUUAUAUGAUCUUGAACAAUCCUGGAUAUUAAUUUUUCCUUUGUUAUUGUAAAGCUGCAGAAUUUCACUAGACAAGUUAAUUGGUUCAGAUGAAGAAAAAUAGUUCACUUAUUCUUAUGACCUGUUUGGUUGUUCUGCUAAUUUGUGUGAAAUCAAGUAAUGGACAUUUUCAUAUAGGGAGAAAUUUACUGAGCAACCAAACAGAUAGUUAUUAUGCAGUAAUAUUUGAUGCUGGAAGCAGUGGAAGUAGAGUUCAUGUUUUUCGUUUUAGUCAAAAUUUGGAUUUACUCCCUAUUGGUGAAUAUGGACUUGAAGUUUUUGAUAAGGUACGUUGUUUUGAUCUCAAAUAUUAGUCGUUUUGACAAAUUAAUUUAACGUAUUUCAAAAUAUUCUAAAGUUUUAGAAAAAUAGCUUAAGAUUGAAUACACAACGAAAUAUGGAUUGUGUUUAGUUUUUUUUUUGUUUCUCAUUCGAUGUUUGAUAUUUUUCUUUCUGGACUUGAUUAAUUUGGAUUUAUAUCGAAAAUUGCAGGUUAAACCAGGGUUGAGUUCAUAUGAAAAUGAUCCAAAAGCAGCUGCUAAAUCAUUAGAGCCUCUUCUAUUAAAAGCUGAAAGUGUUGUUCCUAUAAACUUGCACCCUGAUACACCUGUGGAACUUGGGGUUAGUAUUGUAAUUUUUACACUAUCAGUAUAACGUAAUCGAUUGUUAUACGCGAUUUGUAUUUGUUAUACUUGAGUCAAGGAUUUUUCGAAAAUAGUCCUUUUACACUUUUGAGAUGGUGAUAAGAUAUGCGUAUAUUCUAUCCUCCCUAGACCUCACUCAUAGAAUUUCACUGAAUAUAUUGUCGUUAUAAACGAUUUAUUAACUCUCAAAAUACUUAAGUUAAUUUUGUUAAAGAACAAAAAUAUAUUCACAAUGAUAAAUACUUUAAGAAUGAAUAAGUUUAAUUAAAAUAGAAAUAAUUAACUAAAAAGAUAAAGUAUUUACUAAAUGGCCUUAAUAAUUUAUAUUCUUAUCUUAUCAAAAUUUUUAUCUUAAUGGUUAAUAAUACAGGCAACUGCAGGCUUAAGAAUGUUAAAAGGCAAUGCUGCAGAAAGAAUUAUGCAAUCGGUACAAUUUAAUUCAUUUUUUUGGCUAUAAUUGUAAUUAUAAAUGCCACUAACCUAAUUAAUUGUUUGGUAAUUAUUUGUUUUAUUAUGUUAAUUAAUAUUUUUUCAAAGGUGAGAAAUAUGCUGAAGAAUGAAAGCAUAUUUGAAUACAAGGAUGAAAGGGUUUCUAUCCUUAGUGGAACUCAAGAAGGUUCUUAUCUUUGGGUAAGUAUUUUCUCCCUUGAGUUCGGGAUAUGAAAUUGUCUUUUAGUUCAAAGCGUUUUUUACUUUCAAAGUAAAAAAAAAAAAAAUUAUAUGAAAAUUUAGAUUAGUCAAACUAUAAAGCAAGAUUAAUGUUCCAUGUGAAAAAAAAAAUAAUUAAAAAAGUCUUUUUUUCGCCUUUUGAUCACUUUAUCGAUAAAAAUAAUCAUAAUUCACUUUCUUAUUUUGUUGUGUUGAACUGUGCAAUCUUAUUAUCUUAAAGCUCUUAAUCACAUUUUUAACAUGUUUAUUCCCGUGCGAGCCUGUUUUUCUUUCAAAGACCAACCGCUUAUAUAUCAAUUUUUUUCUUUUGAUAACGGAUGACAGUGAGAUUCAAUCCCAAUACUUUCAUGACUCUAUCUAUUCUAAUACCAUAUUGAAUUAUAAGACCGUCCCAUCUAAAAACUUAAACUUUUAAGUUAAAAGAAAACACACUUUUAUUUACUUUUAACCAUAUAUAAUUCUUAACAUGUUUGCUUGUUUUUUUCAAUAAUUUUUUUUUUAGGUUGGCUUGAAUUAUUUAUUAAAAACUUUGGGUAAAAGCUACCAAAAUACAGCAGCUACUAUAGAUCUUGGAGGUGGAUCAGUACAAAUGGCUUUUGCUUUAUCAAAGGAAAAUUCAGAAAAAGCCCCCAAAAAUUUAGAUGGAGAGAAUUAUGUGUUGCAUAAAUCCCUCAUGGGAGCUAAUUAUUACCUUUAUGUUCAUAGGUAAAAUUACUUUUAAAUGUCGUUGAAUUCUAUCUUUUAACUUCUUCGUACAUUUACUUCUUUAUAUAAAAAUUCUGACUCUGUUGCUAUACAUAAAAUUAUAACUUUUUAUGCAGUUAUUUGAACUAUGGUUUACUAGCAUCAAGAGCUGAAAUUCUUAAAGUUUCAAGAAACUCUACUAGUCCAUGCAUUUUGAAGGGCACUGAUGGUACAUAACCAUUUAAAUAUAACACCGUUUGAAUAGGCACAAAGUUUUAAGAUUUAUUGUUUAAACAAAUCAUAAAUACAAUAACAUAUUGAGUGAAAUCUUACUGGUGUAUGCAGACCUUAAUUUUUGAGGAAAAAUAUAGAUAUUUAUAUAAAUUCAAAUUAUCUCUUUACAAAUUUAACCAUAAUAUAUACUAUUUUAUUUGAAGGUUACUACACAUUUGGGGGAGUAGCAUACAAAGCUUCACCUUUACCAAAUGGUUCAAGUUUAAGAAAAUGCAAGGCAAUUGUGUGGAAGACACUUAAGUUAAAUGCACCAUGUAAAUAUCACACUUGUACCUUUAAUGGUGUGUGGAAUGGUGGAGGUCUUGAUGCUAUCAAGAAUAUAUAUAUUUCAUCAUUUUUCUUUGAUAUGGCUUCUGAGGUAAUAUAAAUAACUAUUCGUUAAUUCUUAAUUCCCAAAGUUGAAGAACGUAACAUAGAUAUCAGCAGAGGCCAAGAUAAAGAACACGUUACAUUAUUGAGCACAUUAUUAUAACAUGAAUUAUUAUAUUACAGGUUAAUAUUGUUGAUCCAAAAGCAUCAUCUGGCAAAGCUAAGCCAAUACAAUACCUAAAUGCAGCCAAGAUUGCUUGCAAGCUAAAAGCUGAAGAAGUAAAAUAUGUGUUCCCUAAUGUGGAUAGUAAAGAUCUCCCAUAUCUUUGCAUGGAUAUGAUUUACCAAUUCUCUUUACUUGUGGAUGGAUUUGGUAAGUAUUGGUAUAACGAUGUCGUUUGUUUAAAUAUUUUUUGGCUAGUAUAAAGAACAUAUAACCUAAUAUAUAAAGUUAAAAACCGAUUCUCUAAUAAAUUGAUAGUUAUAUAUAAUGAAAUGAUAUUGUAGAGGAUAACAGUUACAUAGAGCUGUAACAAUAAAGUCGCUCAAUAUUACUACAUGAUCAUUAUAAGUAAUAAGUUUAUCUUGAUAUAUGGGUAGACUUUGUUGUUAUAGCAGGUAAAGUUUAUCGACUUUAUUAUUAUACUCUCUCUAUAUCAUCUUAUGUGAUCGAAUGUGUAUAAUGUAUAAAAUAUCUUUUGAUUCUUGCGUUGAAAUAUGUCACAUAGAGUAAAGUUAAAAAGGUAAAAUACAGUAGAAAGUUUUUCUUUUAUACAAACUAAAAAAGGAUAAGUUUGUGUAAAAAGUCAAAUAAAUAAAGUUUUGUUGUAAAUCCAUUGUAUAUGUGGAUGAUCCAUUAGAGUUAUCCAACAAUUAAUUAGAUUCAUGUAUUAGUGUUUCCAAUGUGAUAAGAUAUCAAGGUGAUAUGAACCUUGAUGAUAACUAUGUAAAUUUCAAGGUGACCUUUGACUAUGAUAUCUCAACACUAUAAAUAGAGAUAUCAUUCACCAUUGUAUGAUAUACUUGAAUAAGAAAGAUUAUCUCCUCUAUCUUAUACUUCUUGUCUUUUUCAUCUUAUAUUCUGAGCUUUCUUUACAACAAGUUUUAGUUAAUUUAUUUUUUUGAUUAUUUUUCAGGUUUGAAUCCUCAUAGAGAGAUUACAUUGGUGCAUGAUAUUAAUUACAAAAAUAAUCGUGUGGAAGCAGCAUGGCCAUUGGGUUGUGCAAUUGACGUAGUCUCAUCAUCAUCUUUGAGGACUCACAUUUCAUCUUCUUAAUUAAAUAUUAUUUCUAAUUAAUUAGAUUGCCUUAAAAAGUAUCAUACAAUACUAAUAUUAUUCAUUUGUGAGUUAAUGCUUUGUAAUGCCUUGCGUUUCUCUUGUUUAAUUAAUUUACACCUUAUUGGAUGAUCGGUACAUAUCAUUUUAUAAUAUAUCGAAUCGAAUUAUAUUGUAUUAUUUUAAUAAAUGUAAUAUUUGAUAUAUGUGUAGACUAAAUAAAUAAAUAAAAUUAUUAAAACUUGAUAAAAAUUGAACGGUUAAGUUAUGACUUCUUAUCAAUUCGUUUUGACUCAUCUCAUUCGUUUUGAUCCAUUUUGACUCAUUCAAAUUUAAUUUAACUCGUCAAGUUGUUAUUUAGUGGCAAUUCAAGAGCGGAUUACAAUAAAAAUAAUCUUUAGCGGCAUUACAUAUUAACAUUAAUAAAGAGUGCUUAAGUCUUGAUCGAUAUUAGUUAAGUGCCUUUAGAACCAAUAUCGCAAAAGGUUUUAGAAACAUAUAUAAAGAGUGUCAAUUGUCGCUAAAAAUACAUACUCCCUCUGUCCCUUUUUCCUUGUCCACUUUUGAAUUGGCACACCUAUUAAGAAAAUAACUAAUGACGUAGUGAGUUUACCAUUUUACCCUUAUUAAUUAUGAAGUGGAUGAAAAGUUCUAUAUUUUUAAAGUAAUUAGUCAUUUAAUUGUGGAUAUAAUAGGUAAAAAAAUUGUCGUUUUCUAAUUUAUGAAAACGGACAAGUAAUUAGGGACAACUAUAAAAGGAAAAAUGGAUAAGUAAUGAAGGAAGAAAAUAGUAUUUAGCAGCAUUUAAGAAUUAAUUAUCAUUAAUAAUUAUUUUUAUUAUAGUGCGGUAAUUAAUUAAGGUAUAGUGGAACAUCAUGACGUAUUAGUUGUAUUUUAUUUUAUUUUUUAAAAAGGAAAGAGGAAAAGUCAGAAGUUGCAAUACUAUAUUUGUUCUCCAAUAAAUAAAAUAAAAAUUAGCAAAUCACAUUAUAUAAGAAAGAAAUCAUUUACUUUCUAUAACUAUCCUUUCAUUAAUACAAUAUGCAACUUGUAUUAACCUUUGGUGGGGAAUUCAAUUACUACUCACUUUUUGUGUAAUCGUAAUAUUGUUAUUUUAAUGUGCAUCAUUAUAAUGGGUGCACAUUAAAAUGGACAAAUUAAAAUGAACGGAGAGGAAGUAUUUUGCGAAAGAGUUAAUAAGGUAAAAUAAUAAAUUUACUAUAUUAAUUAUUAUUUUUUUAAGAGGCGUUUCAAAUUAAAAUUUAAUGAAUAAAAAGGGAUGAUAAGAGUAUAUACUUUGUGUAUGGAGAUUUAUGUCUUUGCUUUGACUAGUUCUUGAGAUGUUAAAAGAAAUUUCAAAUAAUAUUAAUUUGAUUUUCAUGACCAAACACACACCUGUCGAUCUCAAUUACGUAAAAUCUCUAUAAAAGAAUGUCUCUAAGUCAACUACUAGUUAGACGAUUCAUGAAGAACUUAUAUUAUAAGAAAAUAUUCAAAAAGGAGAAAAAAAAAAUGAAGGAGAAAAAAGAGGAGGUAAAUAGCGUGUAUAUUUAUGAUACAUUAAGUAAGCAAUAUAGUUGUUUAUGUAAAAUACUAAUUGCAAAGAAUCAAUUAGGAAUUUGGUUGAAAAUAGAAUUAAGUACUAUUAAUAUUUUCUAUAUUAUCAUUGUAACUAAUUCUUUUUAAAAGUCUUCAUAUUUAUUUAUAAAAAAAGUCCUAAUUUUUUGAAAAAGUGAAUUGAUAAAAUUAUAUCCGUUUAUGAUUUUUUAAGCACCAUACAAAAUGAAAAAGUGAUCAACUAAUGGGAUACCAAAAGUAUUAGAUUACUCUCUCCAUGUUAUCGUAAUAUUAUCAUUUUAUUUAUUGCUAAUGGAUCUGUGUCAUUACACUGGACAAAUUAAAGUGAACGAGUGUAUCGAUAGCAAAUUAAAUUUCUUACUUAGGAUCAACAAGCAUUGUAAUGCAAUAGAAAGUACUCAUUCAUCUUUAAUUAGACUCUUGGGUUUGAGCUUCCCUUGAUAUAAAGUCCUUUUUUUAGGAAAUACUUUAUCUCCGAUGUAAAUUUUUUUGGUGCAAAUCUAAAUUUAUGAAGUUCCAAUGAGGUACCAACAACAAGUAAAAAAUUAAAUCAAAUAAAAAGAAGGAAAAAUGCACAAGUACCCUCCUAGACUAUGACCAAAAUUCGAAAGACACACCUUAACUAAACUAAGGUCCUAUUACUCACUGAAUUUUAUUAUUAUUUUUUUUUGUAAUUUUAUACAACUUUUCUCUUACGUGGCACACUCCAUGACUCCACAUAAUUGAGACGCACGGGAGAUAUUUGGGUGUCACGUAAGCCAAAAAGAUACACAAAAUUACAAAAGAAAUAAGUACAUGAGGUAAUAGGACCUUAGAAUAGUUAAGGUAAAUCUAUGAGAAUUUGAUCAUAGUCUAGGUAGGUACUUGUGCAUUUUAUUAAUUUUUUAUUUUUAAAAAAUUCAACAUGAAUAUAACAACAAUUUUAAAGAAUUCGAAUAAUUUAGAUUAAAAUAACAUAUUAAAAAGGAAAUUAAAGUGAAAGAGAAGAAAGAUGAGGCAAUACCAAAAUAUGAUAAUCUUAAUAAAAACAUCAUUGAUGAGGCAAUACCAAAAUAUGAUAAUCUUAAUAAAAACAUCAUGACAUAUUUCUUGUAUUAUUUUAAUAAUAAAAAAUAAAAGAAGAGGAGAAGUAAGAAGUCGUAAAAUUUGAAGUCCAAGUUGCAAUAAUACUAUAUUUGUUCUGCAAUAAAUUAUUCACUUUGAGUGUAACCGUAAUAUUGUUAUUUUUUAUUUACUAUAUAUCUCGUUAUAAAUGAACAGAGACUGAGAGUAAACAAAUUAAAUUUCUUACUUGCAUAAGUUAAAUCUAAUAUUAUAUUGAGCUUUAUUGAUUUCAUUCAUGAAUACUCAACGGGAUUCAUCUUCCCACUUGUCUUAUGAUGUGUUUCAGAGGUGAAGAUACUCGCAAAAACUUCACGAGUCAUCUUUAUUUUCGAUUAUGUCAAGUUGGAGUGAAUACUUACAUAGAUGAUGAGGAAUUGAGAAAGGGAGACGUCAUUUCAAACGAACUUGACAAAGCAAUUGAACAAUCUAGAAUUUCCAUUGUUGUUUUCUCAAAAAAUUAUGCUUCGUCUAGUUGGUGUCUUGAUGAACUUGUAAAAAUUCUCGAAUGCAGAGCGAAGUUAAAUCAGGUCGUUUUGCCUAUUUUCUAUGACGUUGAUCCUUCUCAAGUGCGAAAGCAAUCUGGAUCCUUUGGAGAAGCUUUCGCAAAACAAAAGCAACGAUUAUUUGGAGCUGAAAUAAUGGAAAAGUGGAAAGCAGCACUCACUGAAGCUGCAAAUUUAUCUGGAUGGGAUUUGCGAAAUAUUGCUGAUGGGUAAAACUUCUUAAUCUAACUAUAGAAUUUUGAAUUUAAGAAUUCGCCUAAGCCUAUAAAUUUUGAAACAUUGCAAAAUUUCUUAAAACUCAGUGCCCAAUCAAACUAACAGAGUACAUAAUAAUAAUCGAUGAUCUGAUAAAAUAACAGCAAUUAACCUGUUAAAUGUAGUUUAGAAUCUAUUAAUAGCAUAAAAAUACCAAUAUGUAUAAAUAAAUUUUGUUCUCUAACCUGGAGUCGCUGUUGUCUGUUGGCUAUUGAUUUUGUUUUGUUCAUUAGAUGAUAUCAAAUAUCAAAGUGUUGUGUUGCUUGUUUUUUACUUUUAACUUUUGUUGUUGCUAUAAAAUCACAGGCAUGAAUCAAAAUUUAUUGAAAGUAUUAUAAAACAAGUUCUUCAAGAGGUCAACCAGACACCUCUAGAUGUUGCUCAUUACCCAAUUGGAUUAGAUUCUUCUAUCCAACAUCUAGAGUUGUUACUUCAAAGUGGAUGUGAGCAUGAAGUUCGUAUGGUCGGUAUAUGUGGCGUUGGUGGUAUUGGAAAAACAACUCUGGCAAAAGCCAUCUACAAUCGAAUAUUUCAGCAGUUUGAUGGUAGUUGCUUCCUCUCAGACGUUAGAUCAAAAACUGAAGAAUUUGGUCUAGUCAAACUUCAAGAGAAACUACUUAAUCAAAUCCUCAAAAGUAAGGAAUUUGAAGUUGAUAGUGUUGCUGAAGGUGUUAAUCUCAUCAAAGCGAGACUUGGGUCUCAGAAGGUUCUAAUUGUUCUUGAUGACGUAGAUCAUAGAAGCCAAUUAGAAUCGUUAGCAAGAGAAAAAAGUUGGUUUGGCUCUGGUAGUGCAAUAAUUAUUACAACCCGAGACGAGCAUUUGCUGUAUGGGCUUGGAACAAGUGAGAUAUACCAGGCCAAACUUUUAACUGACAACGAAGCUCAACAACUUUUUUCGCGUCAUGCUUUCAACAGUUUGUCUCCACCACAAGAAUACGAUGAGCUGGCACAAGACGUAAUACAGUAUUCAGGUGGGUUACCAUUAGCUCUUGUGACAUUAGGGUCACAUUUCCAAGGGAGAUCCAUAGAGGAAUGGAGACACGAGUUCAAAAAACUAAGAGCAAUUCCUCAUUGUGAUAUUCAAAAGAUUCUCAAAAUAAGCUUUGAUGGACUUGAUGACAAUACUCAGAGUGUUUUCCUUGAUAUAACAUGCGCCUUCCAUGGAUGUUACGAGGAUGAAGUGACCAAAACAUUGAAUGCGUGUGGUUUUUAUACUGAAAGUGCAAUUUCGACCUUAGUCCAAAGGAACUUGCUCCAAAGGGAUUGCCGUUAUUUGGUGAUGCAUGAUCUAGUGCGGGAUAUGGGAAGAGAAAUCGUUCGAUUGGAAUCACCUCGAGACUCAGGAAAACGGAGUAGAUUGUUCAACCCUCAAGAAGUCCGUGAUGUUCUACAAGGAAAUAAAGUCGGUAAAUUCGUAUCAUCUUUGUUUGAUAUACAUUAUAUUUGCUUAUAAUUUAAGUUGUUACCACAAAAACUCAUUUCAUUGGUGCUCAAUACUUCUCUAGCUAGUAAAUUAUCUCUAGUUGUUUGGUAACCACUCUGUACUUGAAAUGAGUCAAUCAAAUAAAAUUCGGCUAUUUAACAAUAAUAUAAAUUGAUUUGUUGAAAGAUAUAAUGUGUAAAUUUAAUUUCUUGGUAGAUAAUUUUUGUUCUCUUUAAUUGGUAUAAAACAUUUCUCUCUCUUAGUUUCUUAUACUUAACAUGGUCUUAUGGUACUUCUCCUUUUACUAAAUUACAGGGUUCUGAAAAUGUAGAAGUACUGGUGGUAGAACGACGGGCAUUAAAGGGUGUGAAGCUGAGCAUCAAAGCAUUUCAGAAAAUGAUAAAUCUUAGGGUGCUUAAAAUCGACGACUUAUAUAUUAGUGGAGAUUUUGAGCUAUUAUCCAAGGAGCUCAGAUGGUUGUCUUGGAAAGGAUGUCCUUUAAAAUACAUACCAUCAAAUUUUCCAGCUGAAAAGCUUGUAGUUCUGAAUAUGGAAGGGAGCGAUGUCCAAGACUUUGGUUUGAAUUUGCAGGUUCAUUACUCAUUUUUGCAAUUUCAUGUGUACUGUUAUAUCGCAAUUACGUGAAAGACAAUGUUCAUUGGAAUUGUAUUUUGUUUACUUUUUAGUGUUGUAGAAGUUUGAAGGAGCUGAAUCUCUCUGAUUGCAAGCGCCUCAGAAGUACUCCAAACUUCAGCGGUUCUAGAAGUCUCAAGAUUUUGUCGUUUGAGAAUUGCUCAAGUCUAAAGGAGAUCCAUCCAUCAAUAGGAAAUUUGGAAAGUCUAAUUGAACUUCAAUUGAGUGGUUGCAAAAAGAUUACGGAUCUUCCGAGCAGCAUAUGCCAGCUAAAAUCCCUUGAAUACUUGUGCAUUAAUGACUGCUUAUCUUUACAAACACUUCCAGUUGACAUUGGAGAUAUGCAAAACCUAGUAAUUCUUCAUGCAUGGUGUACAGGGAUAAAACAAUUGCCAGUAUCUGUUGAAAUGCUAAGAAAUCUUGAACAUUUGCAAAUGGGAAGUCGAAAUUUAGAGGCCAAAAGGAGUUUUUCUCGAAGAAGAAGAAGAGUCCGCCGCAUAGAAUCCUUGCCAAUUUUUAUUUUUCAUUUAAGCCUUCCAUAUUUUGGUUUCUCCGAGCAUGAUAUUCCUAGAGAUAUUGGAAGAUUAUCCAACUUACGUUAUUUAGAUUUGAGGGGCAACAAUUUCCUCUAUCUACCCUUUGAUUUUUCCAAAUUACCGUUGUUGAUUUCCUUGUUUUUGAAUGAUUGUAAGCAUCUUCAAACACUCCCAUCACUAUCAAAUUUAGACUACCUUGAAAAUCUUUAUCUUAGUAAUUGCCAAAAACUGGUCAAGAUUACAGGGUUGGACUACCUCCCGUCAAUAAAGAAGAUCAACAUGAUUGAUUGUACUUCCCUGCAGAAUCAAUUCAAUGAAGGCUUCUUUAGUGCCAUUGCUCUAUCAAUUCCGUCUAUAAAAUAUGCAGAUAUUAAGGUUUAGUCCCUCUUCUUCUCUCUCAUAUCACAUUAUUAAUGAUAUUUGUCUUGAUUAAUAUGUUUGCUGAAGCUGCAGUUACAAAUUUAUGUCGAAAGCAAUGAGAUUCCAGAUUGGUGCAACAAUAAAGUAACAGCUUCAUCUAUUUGUUUGACUAUGCCCACAGUACAGAAUAAUGAGUAUAACUUCUUCGGAAUGGUUCUCUGGUUUGUUUCCCACUUUUGCAAUGUAACCACCCGUCUUCAAAAGUUUGAUGUUACUAUUGACGAGCCUUCAGGUUUUUUCUGGAAUUGGAGUUUCUAUGUACCUGAGAGUCAGGGAGAAGUAUCAUGUGUAUAUUACUUCUCUUUCUCAAAUGGUAGACCUUUUAAUGACCUGGACAUCAUCAAAGGCGGGGAACAGCUACGAGUAGAGGAUGGCAGUGACGGAGGCAUAAUAAAGAAGAUAGGAGUACAUCUGUUAUAUUUAGAUCAACAUGGUAAUGUUACUUCUUUCCCGGCAGUUGUGGAUGAUUCUUAUACUCCCAAGUCCCAACCCACAAAGAUCGAUCUUUGAUUUGGGCUGAUAUAAAUUUUUAAGCUGACAAAAUGUUGACAAGCAAACUACAUAUUAUAAUUUUCAGCGCCUCAUACUAUAUCAAUCAUGAAAUUUUCAGUGAAAUGUGCUACUGUAACGAGGUUUGACUGUACUAGUAUAAUGUGAAACCAUCAUCGUACGAGACAUGCCGCCCUUACCUGCAAGGUGGGGCAUUUUCAUCAGACAUGCUCAAAUGCAACAAAUCCAUACGGAUAUGAUGAUGCAAAUUGAAAGAUCGCGAAAGAAAUUAAACAAAUAGAAGCUAGAAUGUCAAAUGACUCACUAAUAAUGCAUCAAUCUCAGAGUCCAGACCAAAACAGAACACAAGCAGGGGUAAAUCAAUGUCUAAAUGUAUUAUGGACUACCCGUAGAAAUCCAUGGUAUUAGCAAUAUACACCUUAACGCACAAUAGAGUGUAUAACUAAUGCAAACAUUAAUUAUACGUAAGUUGGAAAAGAGUACCAAACAAGGUGCUACUGAUACACAAGACUGACACAUGCAUUAUUUUUUUAAUACACUCUACCUAGCGAUCUCUAAAGAGUGCUUAAAACCGACGACUUACAUAUUAGUGGAGAUUUUGAGCUAUUGUCUAAGGAGCUUAGAUGGUUGUCUUGGGAAGGAUGUCCUUUAAAAUGUAUACCAUCAUAUUUUCCAUCUGAGAAACUUGUAUUUCUGAAUAUGAAAGGGAGCAAUAUCCAAGAAUUAGGUUUGAAUUUGCAGGUUUGUUACUCAAUUCUGCAAUUUCAUGUGUACUGUUAUAUUGCAAUUACGUGCAGGGGUGACUCAAUGCCUUUAAAGAAAAGACACGUGUCUUGGACCAUCAAAAUCGCGCAGGGGUGACUUACAUGCAGGUUUGCAGGGUUUUUUUUUAAAAAAAGGCUAUGAAAAUAUAUUUGAACUUUGACCAAAAUUGUUAUUAUGAUAUCAAACUUUGGAAAUGACCUUUUAUCCCUGCACUAUUUAAUAUUAUAUUUUAAAGGUAUAUAUAUAUAUGUGUGUACUCAGGUAGACAUAAAAAAUAUUGCAUAGUUAUAAACAGUAAUAUGUUCACGUGGGCACAUAUAUACCUUUAAAAUACACUACUAAAUAGUCCAGGGAGUAAAAGAUACACUUUUUAUAGUUCAAGAGGUAAAAGAACCAUCCACAAAAUUUGGUAUCGUAAAAAUAAUUUCCGCUAAAGUUGGAGUAUUUUUAGACCUUCUUUUUCCAUUUUUUUUAAGAAACUCACAACCACCAACAAAAAUAUGUGUCAAGUCGAAUGAUUAUAUGUACACAUCGUAAAACUAGUCAAGUUGGAUGAUUUUUCUAAUUUCUAGAAAUUAAGGGUUUAAAUCAUAUUAGAAAAAAACAUAUUAAAUUGUAAACAUUCUUUGUAAAAAGUAUGGCCAAGUACAACUCCGACUUCAAAAAAUUCAAAUAAAGUAUUUUUUUCAUAACUAUAAGCCUAAGUAGUUUCACUAAAUUUUCAGUAUUUCUUAUACAUUGUAUAGAAUGUGAAUUACAUUGUAUAUAACGUGCGUACGUACUAAAUAUUUUAUUAAAGGAAAUCUCUAAAAGUUGGACGUAAUAUUUAUAAAAUAAUUUUUUAAUAUAAUAUUUCUAAAAAUAGAAAUCUACUGUAUAUAUAUUUCAAGACUUAUGUAUUAUUACGUUAAAAGUCAAUUUACUUGAUGAUGCAAAAAAACAUAUAAACUAAGAACACACAAAAUUAAAAUUCUGAAAACGAAAGAUGCAUUUACGUAUACCUUUUAGGUAACUUUGAUCUUCUCGCCAUGACUAAGACAUGAUCAAGUUUUAAAAUAUAUAUUUUUAUUGGUUCAAUCAGUUUCUUAAUAAAAAUAGAUUGAGGAUGAUUGUUGUUAUAUUUUAAAUAAUAUAAGAAUAUUUUUUGUUCACUUGAAUAAUAUAAUGAUAUACAUUAAAUUUGAGGGAUGAUUUUAAUUAAAAACUCUAAAUAUUUGAAUUUAUGACUAUUCUUUAUAGUUUGAAAAUAACAUAAAAUCAUAAUGAUUUGUCAUAAUUUGUGUAUCAAAUCUAAACUUUAUAGUUUCAAAUUUUUUUUAAACAAUACAGAACUACAUUCGUACAAGUAAGGAACUAUUUAAGAUAUAUAUAUGGAUAGAGUUUCUCAGUCUUUUUGGUCUAGAUGGUCACGUUUCUUGAUUCUUAAAAGUAUAGAAAUUACCGAUAAGAGUUGUGAUGGAGUGUUAUGUACUUAUUUAUUCUUAAUUAGAGAUUUUGAGCUUGUGUUUUAUAGGUAAGAAAUCAACUUUUUUAGAAAAUGUUUAAUCCAUCAAUAUAGACUAUCCCACAAUAACUCAAAUUUAAUCGAACUCUAAUGUGAAUUGAACACUGGAUGAAAAAAAAUGAAAAAAAGUAAAGGAGUAUAGUUAUUACUCCUCAAAGUUCAAAAUUGUAAUAUCUAAAACGCCUUUAAAAUUUGACCAUAAAGUUUGAGAAAGAUGGUGUAUACAUAAUUUUACUUUUAUUUUGUAUAAUUAUUUUACUUUUAUUUUCUAUAAGUAAAGAAGUUUUAAUAGAUAUUUAUUUCAAGUAGAGCAUGAUAAAAAUCUAAUAUAAAAAGAAAAAAUAUAAUAAUAAUGUAAUUAUGUUGAAUAUAAUGGAGAAGGUUAUCGUAACAAUCAAAUGCAAAUGUAUUUUUCCUUAUUUAGGUUUUGUGCAUAGAAAAUUAAGGUCUGUUCUCUUUGGUCCAUUAGUGCAAAUUUCAUUAAAAGUUAACAAAUAUUAUUCAACAAUUAAGUAUUAUCUAUCUUUAAUUUCUAGGACAUGACGUUAUUUAAUUAAAAUGCGUCAUUUUCACUUUAUUAUUUGAAAUAAACAAAUUCUUCAUUUUUUGGGUAAAGUUUUUUAGUCAAUAAAUUAAUUCUUGGAUAUCUUCGAAUUCUUUGACUAACUAGAUAGAGGUGGCCCGUGCCAACGUUGGAAGAUUUUUGUUAGUUGGAUCUAAAUAUAUAAAAAUGUAUGAGCCGGCUAAAUGUACAUAUAGAGAUACAUAGAUAUAUGGAGAUCGUUAGAUAUUGUAAAUAUAGUUGGCAAUUGUUUAGUUUGUUUUUCUGGCUGUAUUAUUUAAAUAUUUACAUCCUAUUAUAUUUACAUAGUUCUGCCUUUGGCUGCUUUUCAGAGUUGGGCAGCUCCAGAUAAAAAUUACCUGUGAAAUAAGAGGAAAAAUGAAUUUAGUACAACUUAAAGUGAUUAGAUUAUUUAAGAAUGAAUAUAAUAUAGUAAAUGUGGAUCACUGGAUCAACAAUUCUAAAAUUUGUUAGUGAAUGGAGUAUUUCAGAAUUAAAGACAGCAUGUAACAUUAAAAUAUAGUAUAAUCAUUUUGGAUUGUACCUGAGAAUUUUGACGAAGUAGACAACAAAAGUUUAUGCCAUCAACAUCAGAAGAGCCAUCAACAUUUGAAGGUAUCAAUUGUUGGAGAAAUAGAAUGACAAAUGAAUGUAGUUUGGUUAAUUAGAGUUAGAUCAGGAUUCUAAUUAACAAAAUGAAUGUGUAUUUGCGUUCGUGGUAGUAUGAAUCAAGUAAAAAUAAGUUGUGAAGAGAAUACCUUUCAGUCCUCCUCCAUCAUGAUCUGGUACAACUUGCAUUUGCUGCUUUCUAGAGUUGCUGGUGCAGUGAAUGACAAUAGGUGCUCCACAUCCCUUGGAAGUUUUGAUGCUAAUUAUGUACUGGCAGUAGCAGCAGCAGAAAUAGAGCCACAUAAAGACGCAAUUGCAAAAAGAACUGUCUCUAAAUUGCUACCUCUAAUGCAAUAUAGGCAGUCCAUUUUUGCAUGUAGGCCAAUUGUCAAGAAAUGUUGUUCAUUCCAUGUGUCUCUCUCCAUAGUUAGAGAUAAAGAGAUGUCCAUACGUAGUUAGUUCAGUGUUGUGAAUGUAAUGGUAAUUGCUUAAGGUCAGGUGGGUGACAAUGGCUUGGUACAAUUGAGGAUAGAAAGAGUGCACUGACAGAAUAAAGUAGGGUACAUAGCAUCUACCAUAAUCAAAUAUACAUCUGUUAAUUUGAGAGCCAGAUUGGUUUCCUAUAUGUCUAUAUAUGUAGUAGGUUCUUGGCAUGCUGAGAUGUCCUAUUUUGCAUAUCUUUUUUAUCUGAACUGAAGUAACUUCCUAGUGGAAUCCUAUAAGGUCUUGAUGCUGCUGGAUAUUUUAUCCUUAACUUGACAAAAGAUAGAAAUUCCAAAAUCAUUGCGAAACAAUUCAUAAAGUUCUCAGCAGCCACAAUUUCUUGAAAACCAAGGCAAGACAGCAGCACAACACCUGAUGCAGAAAAUAAAAUACUGAUAAAAGGGGUUCCAUAACGCCAUCUCUUUGCGAAAAAAUCAGGAAGCAUCCCCCGUUCUGCCAUUCCCAAAAGCUGAUAUGAGUCACCACUCAUCUCAGCUAAAAACAUUCCCAUAUUUGACACAGCUGAAGCCCCUUGAACCCACAAUCUUAACCAUACUCCUCCAAUGAUCUUAGCAAUAUCCGAGAAAUAACCAUCACUCCAAAGAUCACGAUGCAACGGAACAGCUCCCGUGCCAAAUAAAAGAGGGAGAAAGUAACCAGAGACAACUAAAGGAAGUGCGUAGAAUAAAGCCUUAGGAAUUGUUUUGCCAGGAUCCUCCACUUCCCCUGCCAUAGUACUCACUGAAUCCCAAUAAUUCAAAUUCCAAAAAAGUGUAUUUAGAUACAAUCCCCAUUGUACAUUUUCUAAAUCCACAACAAACCAUCUUGAAGGCUCCAACUUAGGAAGCGCGAUAACUCCCAUAAUUAGAAAAGGAAGGAGAGUAAAUAUCACUAAAACUGUAGCAACCCAAGCAACAAUAGUUAAACCUCUAUAGUUCAAAUAUGUAAGUGCAAUAACCAAAGCAACAAUGACGAUUGUUCUUGGUAGACCAUUUGCCAAUGCUGGGACAGAAGAUUUAAUGUAGUCUAAAUAUAUAUAUAUAUAUAUAUAUAAAAAGAACAUGAUCAGGGGUCUUUUGGAGGUAUCAUUUGUAAGGACAGAGCAUACCAACAUAAAUUUUGAAAUAAUAGUCACCCUUAAAUAAUAUCUAAUCAAGACGUUGAAUAUUUCAAGUGGUUGUUUCUCAAGCGGGAACGACUUAAAUGUAGAAAGAAAAAGAGAUGAAGGGAGAGCCAUUGUAUUUGUAUUUUAGACACUAUAUUCUACAUCAGCAUUGCAUAUCUAUCGCAACUCCAAUAAUAAAAAAGGCUGAUGUGUUUAACAGAGCCAUGUCCUUGAUAAAAGAGUGUCUUUUAACUUCUCUCUCUACUCCACAUGAAUUUACACAAGCAUAACAUCACUAAUUCUAGUGAUGAAAAAAAGAUUGUUAUGUGUUUUUGAAUAAAUUUGAAUCAAGUAAAUCAGAUAGAUUUCAUGAGGUAAGUAACUUAGUUUUUGUUUUUCUUUAUAUCAUACAAAAAAGCAAUCUAACAAAAUAUACUUUCAAAAAACAAUGUUAUGUGUACACUACAUCUACCUCUAAAAAAUUAUAGAAUCAAAAUGUGUGUGGUUAGAUUAAACAACUUAUUAACAAAAUUUAACUCGCAUACCUAUAAAAUGCAUUAACUUUAUAAGCAUCAUUAUAACAAACGCCAAGUAAAACAGCAACAUUAACCUAAAAUUGCUGUCUUUUAAUAGGCUCUGAAGGAGAAAGUAAAUCAAUACAAAGCUAAUUAUGUUAACUCUCUCAAACAAAAGGAUAGAAUGGUCCUAAACAAGGCUAAAGCAGAGUUAAUAAUUCAUCACAAAAUGGUUGGUAGUUUCUGGAAAUAAAAACAGAAACAAAAAGUCAACUUUAAAUGGCAACUCGAGGGGGAUGGAAAUACCAUGUUCUUUCACAGCAAGUUAGAGGAAUAAGGAAGAUAUUACAUAUCCAUAGAGUCAAUGUGAAUGAUCAGUGGAUUGAAGGGGACGAUAACAUAUGACAAGCUACAAGGUAUUCCUGUCAAGAUCUUUUCAGCAAAGGAAAUGACAAUAUUGCUGGCCCUGAUGGUUUCAACACCUUGUUCUGGGACAUUAUUGGCGCUCAUAUGGUUUAAUUAGUGAAGGUUGUGUUCAAUGGAAAGCAGAUGCCUAUGUUUUUAACCAGUACUUGCCUAGUUGUAAUACCUAAACAAAAAUCUGCUAGGAAUAACUGAGGAACAGUAUCCUCACAAUCCAAAAAGAACAAGGCAAACAAAUUCACCCAACGAAGUACAACGAUUUAAAUUAUUGGGGCUUUCAAAGCAAUAGGAAAUCGAACAUCAAUAACAAACCCAAGUGAAGAAAGAAGAAAAUAUUAACACACCCAGAUCAAAUUUGGUCAAAGGAAGAUAAACAAAAAGGAACGUCUAAAUUGAAAACACAGCAAGAAGACACGUAGUAACAAUUUAGAGUUGAAAAGACUAAAAUGCCCCUAGACUUGUGAAAUAGGCAUGUUGAGACGAGCCUCUUCUAUAAUAGUAGAAAAAAAGAAAAGAAAUACUACAUUCAGCAACUUAAAAAUAAAUAUCCAAUAUUUAUUCAAUAAGAAUCUUAGACUAUAUAUUCAAAGCAAUUUUGAUGUAUGGCACAAAGUGAAUCCACAUAGAGGUUAAAUAAAUACCCAAUACAUAAACGUACAUUUUUAUUUGAUAUUUAUAUUUUCUAACUUCAUAAAUAUAUAAAUAAAUAUUUAAAUUUGUAUAAAAUUAAAUAAAUAAAUAUAUACAUCAUACAUAACAAUAUUUGACGUAUAUUAUUCUACGUAAAACACAUAAUAUUAAAGAAGUUUAAAUUAAAUCACUGCUUGAUUGCCUGAUGCUCUGGGUGCCUUCUGAGUACUCUAUGACAAAUACUACUCAACAAAUUUGAAAAAUAUAUAUUAAUCCAACAUUUCUAAUUUCUAGGAAAACUGAUUCUUUUUAAGUUAAAAAAUAUAGUUUUCAUUUAGUAAUAAAAUAUUAAAUUUUGCAGUUAAAUUUCAUAGUAACUUGGUAUUCUUUUCUACUCUCUAGGUUCAUUAAUGCAACAGCUUCCUCGUUGAAAUUUGUUAUUUAUCUACGUAUAAUACAUCAUAUUUUACAUUAUCUAUCAUAAUAAUUUGACGCAAUACAUCGAUAAUCUCAUAAAUUUAUUAAUAUAUUUUAUUUAAAUAUAUAAUAAUAUAUUUUGUUAGAGAUUUCUGACUUAAAUUUUAAUUUUAAAUGCCUAUUGCAUAUGUUUUCAAGCAGUUAUUACUUAAAUAAGAUAAUUACUUAAAAUAUAUCAUCUUAUGAAUCAUAUACGAAAUCGAUAAUUAUCACGUUUUCUACUAUAGCAUUGUUUUGUCUCAAUUCUUAUGUGUCAAAAUAUAAGAGUCAUAGUGUCGUUGUCAUAACAUAAAAAUAUCUUCUUCCUUUUCAUCCUAAAUCGUUUAAUUUUGUUUAGCCAAAAGUUGGCAUUAAGCUACAUGAUGUCAAUCAAUUGAACCGAAAAGGCCAAAACAUUUUUAAUAAUGUAUAAAUGGAUAUUGCUAAUUCAGUUUAUUAAAGCAAACUUUCCUUAAAAUAUAUUACUUUUUUCGUAUAUCUUUUACUUAUCUGCUACAUCAAAAGUAGAUGUUCACUUUUACUUUAUUCAGCAUAAAAUAUCAAAAAAUAAUUUAUUUUUUUAUCUAUAUUAAUUAUCUUUAUUAUUAACUACUAAUCAUUUUUAUUUUUCAACAUUUAAAUAACAUAUAAUGAUUAAGAGUGAUAAAAAAUAAAAAUAAUUAUUUUAUUUUAUACAAAAAAGAGUUGGGUCAAACAUGGAUAAAUUAAAUUAAAUAAUCAUCGACCAGAUUUUAAAGAUUUCUAAGAUAUCUCAACAUUUAAAUAAUUUAUAUUCCCUUCAUUUUGAAUUAAUCAAAUCAUUCAGAUAUUUUUUAUUUUUUAAAUUAAUUAAUUAUUCAAUUUCUAGACUAAUUUUGGAAUAUUCUUCUAAUUCUAUCCUUCAUUAGUUAGUAUUGAAAUUACUUAUUAAUUAAUUUUUAGUUAUUUUAAUUAUAAAUUUGACGAUAAUUAAUAAGAAAAAAAUAGAAAGUUAUACUAAUUUAUGUCCUGAUCUUCUUUUUUAAGAGGACGUGAUAUAUCUCAACAAUUCAAUUAAUUUGAUACAGUAAUAACUAACAGUGACAGUAGUGAAAUAAUUAUUUUAUUUGUUUUUUUUAAAAGAAAAAACUAAAUUAAACAUGGACAAAUUAAAUAAACAUGAAAAAGAUUUUAAAGAUUUCUAGGAUAUUAUAAAAUAAAUAGUCAACUCAAUUGUGUAAUAAUCUUCAAAUACAAAAAAAAAAAAAAAAAACUUCAAAUAGUACCAUAAAUGAAAAAAAAAUGUCUGGAUAAACUAUAAAUGAUUAAGACAAUCACACCAAUCCAUCACUAACCUUAUCAUCAUAUUUAUUAAUUAUUUAACAAAUAUAGAUAACUUUAUUUUUAUGAUUCAUUUGUGAGUUGUCAAGAUAUGGAUAGAGAGGUCAUCUGAAGAUCUUCAAUUUUAAAUAUUAAAAAAAAAAAUCAGAAUCAAAUAAAUAGAUCAAAUAAUUUUUUAAAAAAUAAAUAGAUGCGUAAUUUAAAUUUGAAUUUUUAUAUUAUAAAUUUUUAUGGACUUCUUAUGUCAUCUUCCAUAUAUACUUUCCCUCAGUCCACCGUCCCUCGUUAUCUAAUUAGAUAUUAAAGUCUUAUUGCUUUGAAAAUAAAUUUUUGUACAAAUACUAUUAGAUAUACGUGAAAUAAAAAAAUUGACAUCUUAUGUUUAUACCAAUUCAAUAAUACAUGACACAUAUUUUUAUAUAUUCUUUUAACUUAAUUAUAAUUGGUAUAUACAUAUUUUCACAUUAAUUUAAAGAAUUUAAAACGUAAUCAUUACAAAUGAGUACAAUUUAAUAUAAUAUCGUAUUUGAAUAAACUUUUACAUCACGCAAUGCACCAAAACAGUGGCAGAUAUAUGUAGGUUUUGAAUGACGACAAUAAAUAUAAAAAAUUAACUAUCAAUUGAAUGGUUAUUUUAUAAAUUAUCAAACGUUGUAUUAUGACAAAUCCAUAUGUUAAUAUAUUUUUAAAAGUGUUAAAGAAAAAUUAUAAUAUCAAAUUUUAAAAAGUGUUAAAAGAGAAAAUUAUAGUAUCAAAUCAUUCAAAUGUUAUUUACAGACAAUUUCUUAAAUUGUAAUUUAAAAACAUAUCUAAUUGUUUAAAAAAAAAGGAAUUUACACCAAGGUUCACCCAACACUUCUUUUUCUUUCUUUCUUUUAUAUAUAUAUAUAUAUAUAUAUAUAUAUAUACAAAACAUAUCAAAGGAUAUCAAAUUUUCAAUCAAUCCUUUGAAAAUAACAAUUGUCGAGACAAUAUUUAUUUUACCUUCAUAAGUAUUCAAUAUAUCGAAUCAAAUUUAAAUUUUUGGUUCAUUAAUCUUGUUGAGCUAUGAAUAAAUUAUUUAUAUGCAUUUUAAUAAACUUUUAAUAUAGACACAAAAACUAAAUAUACACUAAUUAAUUUCUUAAAUUUAUCAAAGUAUUCCAUUUUAAAUCAUGUUUUCAAUUGAACACCAUAAUAAUUUCUAAAGAAAUGUUUUAACUAUAUAUUUUUAUUUAAAUGUAGAAAGAAACAAAAUGCAUGUCUUCUUUUUUAUCUUCUUUAAUUAUACACACUAAAUUCAGAUUAAAAAAAUAAGAAAAACUACCUGAUAUGGCAAAUUUCAAUAUAUAUUUAAACAAUAUAGUUAUAAUUUAAAUUUUUUAUGUUAUAUUAUUAUAACUAUAUAAUAAAUAGCAAUUUUAAUUGUAUAUCAAUAAUCAUUUUUUCUUAUGUUUAAUAUAAAUACAUAAUAAAUAGGAAAUUUUUUAUUAAACUCAUAAUUAAUUAAGUAGUCAUACCUUCUCUUUCAUUAAUAUUUUUAUAUUACAGAUUUUUAUUUUUUUUUGUAUUUUCCCCCAAUUCCUUCUAAUUCAAGAUCCUUUUGUAUGAUUGUAGGAGUGAUUUUUGUGGUUCAAUAUAUUAUACUUAUAUUUAUUUGUAUGAUUGUAGGAGUGAUUUUUGUGGUUAAUUAUAUUAUACUUAUACUUGUGGUUCAAUUAAAUGUCAAAUGUUUAUAUUUAAUACAAACCUAUGUACAUAGAUAAUUGUAUUGUAAUAUUAACAAAAUGGUGAUUUGUGAAUACAAAUAUAUUUGGAUACAUAAGUAAUUUAUCCAAUUGAUUAGGCAAUACAAGUAUAGUUGGAUACAUUAAUACUAUAUUUUUAUAAAUAAAUACCUAAGUUAACGUCAAGCCUCAAGUAUUAUAGAAAAAAAAAUAGAUCGACGUCUUGUUUUUUUUUUUAAUUUUUUAUAUAGUCGAAUAUUUACACACUUUGAUACAUACACAUUCUAUUGUUUUUUCAUUUUCUUAUUAACAAGAGUGUAUUCAUAUUAUAGUAUAUUGAUAUAUUCAUUUUUUUGGUUAACAAUAGUGUAUCCAUUUUUCAAAUUGUUGUAUUCAUAUGCUAAAAUUGUACUACUUUACCUUGUUUGAUAUAGUAGUACAUUAAAUUUUUAUAAAUACUUGUAUCCUUAAUAUAUUAAUACUUUAAGUUUUAUAAAUAGAAACACCAAUUUGAAUUCAAAGUAUUCAUUUGCUAAUUGUACAAGUAAUACAUUUUUCUUAUUUAGUUAUUGUAAUCACUACUGUAUUACUGUAUAAAUAAUAAAAAAUAAAAAACGUAUGCAAAAAUACAACGAGAAAAGACAUGAAUAAACUUUUAUAUUCAAAAUUUUAUGAAUAUCUUUAUGAUUAGUAUUUAGUGAAUAUAUUGUAUUUAGGAAUAUAAAUACAACCUUUUGCAUUACUUGAAACAAUCAUAUUUGCAUACAAUAUGUAAUUAUUAGUUGGUAAUUUAACAUUGAAAAUUUCAAUUAUUUAGGAACAUAAUAAAUGAUUGAUACUUAGAAGUUAUGGUAACAUAUCAUACCUUAUUUAGUGCAUUGUAUAAAUAAUUAUAAUAACAAUAAAAUAAAAUAAAAUAAAAAUUUAAUACAAACAUGCAGCUAGAAAUUGACAUAAAGUGUAGUCAUUUCUAGUAAAUAACAUAUUUAUAGCCAUUAAACUUUGAUAACCUUAUAAAUAUAAUUAUUUUUUAAAGUUAUUCUAAAAAUAUCUCAAUUUACGACUUAUCGAAAUGAAUGCAUAUGUUUACAAAAGUAACAUAUUUUAUGUUUUUAAGUUAACAAUAAAUAAACCAAUAAAAAUGAAAUGUGUUAGUUUUAGCAAUUGACGUGUUUAAUUAAAAAAAUUAAUUCAAUUAUCUUAUUCUAAUUAAGGCAAAUAAAUAAUUAAGCCAAAUACCGUUUGUAUGUAUUUAGAAUAUUAUUUUGUCUAUAUACAGACAUAAACAAAAUACUGCAUGAUAAUAAAGCUAUAAACAGAGUAAACAAAUUUAAGAUUCUGAUAAUUCACACAACUCUAUAUAUAUACAUAUACCCUUGUUGUGUUAUUACAAGCCAAAAACUGAAAAAGGGUGUUUUUUUUAGUACUAUUUUGCCUAUUUCUGAUCUGAAAUUUCAGAUUUUCCGGCGAGAAAAUGGCGACGGAUAUGGAGGUGCAGCAGAACGGGAAGGAGACGGUGGCGGUGGUUAAUGGGUGUUGCAAAAAAGGACCUGGUUAUGCUUCUCCACUUGCAGCCAUGGAUGGUCCUAAAGAAUCUUUAAUUUAUGUCACCUGCAUAUAUACUGGUAAAGAUUCCUCUUUUUUUUGUGUGUGUGUAAGAUUCUUGAAAUUGAGGCUUUUUGUUUGUUUGUGUUGUUUGUGAAGUAAAAGUAGUUGAAAAAUGAAAUCUUUGUUUCUGAUUUUGCUCAUCAAGUAUGGUUUUUUUUUCUGUCUGUUUUAUGUUUGUGAAGUAGAACUAGUUUUUGAAAAAUGAAAUUUUGUUCUCUGAUUUUGCUCAUCAAGUAUGGUUUUUUUCUGUCUGUUUUAUGUUUGUGAAGUAGAACUAGUAGAAAAAUGAAAUCUUUUUCACUAAUUUUGCUCAUCAAGUAUGGUUUUUUCUGUCUUUUGGGGCCUUGGGGGUGAACUUUUCUAUGGAAAUUCAUUUUAAAAUUCAGACUUUAGAGGGCCAAAGGGGAAUCUUGAGUGUAUCAAGUGGUUUCCUGAUUCCCUUUGGAUUUGGGGGGGGGGGGGACAGAUAAGCUAUGGUAUGGAAAUUUGUUUGAAAAGUUUGAUUGCCAAAAGAUCUGUGUUUUGUGGGCCAAAAGGAAAUCUUGAGUGUUGUUAUGGGAUUUCAUAAAAAUAUAAGUGUUCUUCAAGCCCCAUUAAAUUGUAGUUUACAUAAAAUCAGAUAGAAAAAAACAAAAGUGAGGGGGAAGUGUAGAACUGGCAAGUUUUUGUUUUAUGGAAUCUGAGGUUUUCAAGCUUUCAAUAAAUAUUUUUUGGCAUCUUGUAAGUUUCAUAAUGUUUUGUUUAAAUGUUUGACUGUGAUCUUUGGCUGCGGAUGUGUUGAAAAGUAAUUCAGGUUUAGAAAGUUGAUUUACUGAACAAAAAUUACAAAUAGCAAGUAAUGUAGCUGCUAAUUUUGGAUCUACUUGGAUGUACAGUUAAUAUAGUCUGAGGCAGAUGGAGCCUAUAUUCAAUGGGUUCGACAAAAAUUCGUACAUUCAAUACAAAAUAUAGAUAUGUGUAUAUGUGAAAAAUUACAAUCAUUUCAAUGAAUAUUACGUUAUAAACCUAUGAUGUCAAAAGCACAAUGAGUUCAAUGCUGAAAUUCCAACUGGAUGAAUCCGGUCAAGUUUAAAUCUUUGAUCCACCUCUGAAUAUGGUUCAUUUCUACAGGAAUGGGAAGGGGCAAACCCGACUAUCUGGCUACAGUAGAUGUAGAUCCUAAUUCACCAUCUUAUUCAAAAGUGAUCCACAGGCUGCCUAUGCCUUAUGAGGGUGAUGAACUUCAUCAUUCUGGAUGGAAUUCCUGCAGUUCUUGUUAUGGAGAUCCAUCAGCUGCUCGACGAUAUCUCGUCCUGCCUUCACUAAUGUAAGAAUUAUAGCUACUCCCUUAUAUUGUUCAUGAGGGAAAAACACAUCUUGAUGACUAUAUGCAAGUAUAGAACUUAUAUGAUAUUCAAGAUUUUCGAUAAUUUAACUCUUGCAGAUCAGGACGCAUUUAUGCAGUUGACACACAAAAGGAUCCAAAGGCUCCCAGUUUGUAUAAAGUUGUUCAGCCAGAUGAUGUCGUCAAGAAGACAGGAUUAGCAUUCCCGCACACUGCUCACUGCCUUGCUUCUGGUGAGAUAAUGUUGUCAUGUCUCGGAGAUAAAGAUGGAAAUGCUGAGGGGAAUGGAUUUCUUCUUCUCGAUUCAGAUUUCAACGUGAAAGGAAGGUACUGUAUUGUUGUACUCUCUUGAGUCCCAAAUUUCCCUCUGCUGGUUUUGUUUGUUUCAACUUGCCUUGGCCUCUCGUGGAUGGUUAUAUUUUAAAACCAACUGAGUAGUUAAGAGCAAGAAAAUUACAGAAUCCCUGCAUGUGAUUGGAUAAGUCCUCUAUUGAUUCCUUGUACCUCGAUUAUCACCUUGUUUUGUUGUAGUUAAUAUUCUGGUACUAUUUGUUGUUUCUUUACUUCCGUUACACUGGGUGUGCUGUUGUUGUUGUGAUCAGGCAAGUCCAAGGAUUGUUUGUUAUUCUAUCCUAAAUUCGGUUCCUCUUGACAGUUUAUCAAGGAAAACUGAAAUUAUGUAGUUGUAGUGAAACUAGACUAUGCAGAGUGUCUAAGCCAAGGCAGAUUUUGACUCCUUUCUUAUAUUUUAGAUGGGAGAAACCAGGUCAUGGUCCCCUCUUUGGCUAUGACUUCUGGUACCAGCCUCGACACAACACCAUGAUCAGUUCCACCUGGGGAGCUCCAUCUGCUUUCACCAAAGGUUUCAACCUGCAGGAUGUUGCUGAUGGGCAUUAUGGUCGACAUUUGCAUGUCUACACAUGGCCCGGUGGUGAACUUAAACAGACAUUGGAUCUUGGGAACACUGGGCUCCUUCCUCUAGAGGUAAUAAACCCCUUUACCACCUUUGUAACUUUGCACCAUGGUUUAUCCUGCUGAAUACAUAAAUAUAUUCAUUUUCCUUCCGGUAUAUAGAUAAGGUUCUUGCAUAAUCCAUCUGAAGCAAUUGGGUAUGUGGGCUGUGCUUUGACCAGUAACAUGGUGCGAUUUUUCAAGAAUCCAGAUGACUCGUGGGGACAUGAGGUUAGUAAUGGUUUACUACUUACUGGACCUUUCAAUUAGUUGUUAGAAGUAUCGAUCACUAAGUGGAUUCCGGAACCAAUGCAGGUAGCUAUCUCAGUAAAACCAGUGAAAGUGCAGAACUGGAUUCUUCCUGAAAUGCCUGGUCUUAUUACUGAUUUUCUGAUCUCUCUCGAUGAUCGUUUUCUAUACCUGGCAAACUGGCUACAUGGUGACAUUCGACAGUACAAUAUUGAGGACCCUGCCAAUCCUAAGUUAACUGGCCAAGUAUUUGUUGGAGGAGUAUUUCAAAAAGGAAACGCUGUACUCGCUGAGGCUGAAGAUGGUUCCACAUACCAGGUUGAUGUCCCAGAAGUCCAGGUAAUUAGAAUUGAAAAUGUCUCAAUAAUGUUUUGCUUUCAAGUUCAGGAAUACAUUUUUACUAAAACAAGCUAUAUAAGAUCUGAUCGAAUUAUAAUUCGCCAUUAAGCAUGUAAAUCAUGUAUAAUCUGUCUACUUUUGGAGUCAAAUCUGUGGUUUGAAAUAAUUGUUGAUAUCGUUAACUUAAAGAUAGUUUAUGCCUACCUCUUUUUCCCGAAAGUUUAGAAACAUGGACAAAUCGAUGUAUAAAUGACCUUCUGUGUUACUUCCAGGGACAUCGGUUGAGAGGAGGGCCUCAGAUGAUACAACUGAGUCUAGACGGAAAACGUUUGUAUGUCACAAACUCAUUGUUCAGUACAUGGGACCGUCAAUUCUACCCCGAAAUGAUAGAGAAAGGAGGUCACAUGUUACAAAUCGACGUUGACAGUGAGAAAGGUGGACUUGCUAUUAACCCAAGAUUUUUCGUUGAUUUCGGAGCUGAACCUGAUGGUCCAUCUUUGGCUCAUGAAAUGAGGUAUCCUGGUGGUGACUGCACUUCUGAUAUUUGGAUAUGAGUGUCUAAAAUCUCAUAAAGAAUAAAGUCUGGUGACUCUGGUCCCAUUGUAUUGCAUUUGUUUAUUGCAAAUCCUCCUCAAACUCCCAUGUACCUUAAAACUACACCAUUUCAGUGUCUCCUUAGCUUUGUCUUGAUUUCAGUACUCUGGUUAUCCCUUCUUUAUAUUAGCUCUUUGUUAAAUAAAGUCUUUUUUUUUAUUUCUCGUGCAACUUUUUAGACCAUGGUUUACUUUCUUUUUUUUUGAGCAAACUAAAAAACUUGUGAGAAAACGUUAGACUAUGGUCAUAAAUUUGUAAGUUUGCAAACGUUGAUCGUAGUCUAGUGUUUCCUGCUUUUCAGAAGGAUUAAUUUUUUCAAAGGUUAUAUUACACAAUUUUAAAAUAGGAACAAAAUCGCGGCCUUUUUCGUGCAAGUCAAUCAACAUUUUUAUCAUUUGAAUCUGUUUAUUAAAAAUUCUAAUUUUAUCUCUGAUUUAAUUGAACAUUGUUUUAUGUUAGACCUAUAGAUAUAUUGUUCGAUAGAUGUGAAAUUAUGACAAGUGAAUGUGUUAAAAAGGUGGAUAAAUAGUCCUAAAACUUAUAUGGAAUGAAGUGAAGUAGUUUUAAAAGACUCGUAAUUGCUUGAUAUUGAUAUUGAUUUAGCUAAAGAUCGGGUGGCGAUGAGCGGAUAGUUUUAGAGUCACUCUCAUUAUUUAGUAUUAUCAAAUUGAAGAUUCGUAACUUAUUUGAGACUUAGUGUAGUCUUUCUAGUGCCCGCAGCCAACAAGAUUCUUUUUAACAUAACAGAGCUCGAAUCCAAAAGUUAAAGGUCGAGGAAUCCUAACCAUCCCGCCACAACUUGAGUGUUCAAUAGCUUAAAGAAUUUUUGUUUCCUGAAAUAUUUGAAGUUAAACCACUGGUUAUGAAUGCAGCACUUUCAUUUUCUUCACCAACUCCAACGAUGCGCCAGAUUCCAUUUCCCUACGGAAGGCAGAAAAUUACAUGCUCACAUUAUCAAGAUUGGUUUAUACGACUGUUCCUUAAAGCUUUGCAACAAUCUCAUAGACAUGUAUGGGAAAUGUGGCCUUCUUGAUGAUGCCUUACAACUGUUCGACGAAAUGCACCAUAGGGAUUUAGCUUCAUGGGCCUCUGUUUUUACUGCACAUAACGAAGCUAAUCAACCCCAGAAAACUCUUCUCCUCUUUCGCAACAUGUUUUUAGAUGGUCUUAGGCCUGACCAUUUCGUUUUUGCUAGUGUUGUUAAGGCUUGUGCUAAUUCGGGUGCGUUGAGAGUUGGUAAACAAGUGCAUUGCCAGUUCUUGAAAUCGGUGUUUUCGGUUGAUGAUGUUGUUAAGUCUUCGUUAGUUGAUAUGUAUGCGAAAUGUGGAUUACCGGAUAAUGCAAAAUCGGUUUUUGACUCGAUUUUGGUUAAGAAUUUGAUUUGUUCGAGUGCAAUGAUAUCGGGGUAUGCUCGUUGUGGGAGGAAGAAUGAAGCUUUUGCGCUACUAGGGGAGUUGGGAGAAAAGAAUUUGCAAUGUUGGACUGCUUUGAUAUCUGGGUUCGUGCAAAACGGGAACUUGAUUGAUGCAGUUGAUGUAUUUCUUGAAGUAAGAAGAGAAGGGGUUGAUAUGAGGGACCCGUUUAUUCUUUCGAGUAUAGUAGGAGCUUGUGCUAGCUUAGCUGCACUGCAACUCGGGAAACAGAUUCAUCGAUUAGUUUUAGGGCUCGGUUAUGAAUGUAGUUUGUUUGUUAGCAAUGCCCUUGUGGAUAUGUAUGCAAAAUGUAGUGAUAUUGUGGAAGCUAAGAAGAUAUUUGAUAGCAUGUUGACAAGAGAUGUUGUAUCUUGGACCUCAAUUAUUGUCGGGAUGGCGCAGCAUGGACAAGCUAUUGAAGCUUUGUCGUUAUAUGAUGAUAUGAUCUUGGCUGGCCUUAAGCCAAAUGAAGUAACUUUUGUUGGACUAAUCUAUGCUUGUAGUCAUGUUGGAUUAGUAAACAAAGGUAAGAGUCUUUUUAAAUCCAUGAUUGACGAUUAUAAGUUAAGUCCUUCUCUGCAGCAUUACACGUGCUUGUUAGAUCUGUAUAGUCGUUCAGGUCACCUUGAGGAUGCUGAGAACCUUCUUAACACGAUGCCGUUUCAGCCUGAUGAAGCUGUUUGGGCUGCUUUAUUAAGUGCUUGUAAGCAACAUGGAAACACUGAAAUGGGAGUCAGGGUCGCUAAUCGCUUACUAAUUCUCGGACCAAAAGAUCCUUCAACUUGUAUACUGCUGUCAAAUACAUAUGCUGGUGCAGCUCUGUGGGACAAUGUCUCUAAGUUGAGGAAGCAGAUGGCAAAUUUGGAAGUGAGAAAAGAACCUGGCUACAGUUCUAUUGAUUCGGGAAAAGAAACUACGACGUUCUAUGCAGGAGAAGCAUUGUAUCCAAUGAAGGACGCGAUUUUUUCCCUCCUAAAGGAAUUUGAUUCUGAGAUGAGGAAGAGAGGUUAUCUUCCCGACACCACGUUCGUUUUACAUGAUAUGGAACAGCAAGAGAAAGAAAGACAGCUCUUUUGGCAUAGUGAGAGAUUGGCUGUGGCUUAUGGAAUUCUGAGAACUGUUCCUGGAUCAGUAAUAAGGGUGGUGAAAAACCUUCGAAUUUGUGGCGAUUGUCACACUGUUAUAAAGUUUAUAUCAAGCAUUACAAGCCGAAAAAUUGUCAUUAGAGAUGCAAAUAGAUUCCAUCACUUCAAUGAGGGGGCAUGUUCAUGUAAUGAUUUCUGGUGAUGGUAUCUUCAGCUGUUAGAUGUCUAUCGCCCUCGAAAGUUUCAAGCUACACUAUUGACAUCGAUCCUUGGAAACAGAGGCGGAGCCAAAAGUUGAAACUUGUCGGAUCUAGAUAAGAAUGUUGAAGAUUGCAUCUGAUUUUCUCAGGAAACAAAAUGCUACAUGCUUAUUGAAUAAUGCUCUACAACUUUAUGUCCUCAUAAAUAUAUGUUAAGUUCUAUCAAAUCUAAUCAAUACCAAUCACUAUAUUAUCAGUGCAAUCUCAGGUUUGUUGAAGGAAAUAUAAUCUGAAAAACCAACUCGCCGGUAGCUAUUCAGAUCUUGCAUCUUUCAUAGCUAAAAAAUGAGGAAUCAUUUGUAUAAGUUGUCAAUUUGCUCUUUGUAAAGAGCUGCAACUCUGUCUCUCUUGAUUUUCAUAGUUGGUGUUAGCAAGCCACUAUCAAUCUGCAGUAAAUAAAAAGGUCUAAGAUACAGAAAUCAACUGACGUUAAACUCGAAUCAAAUUUGGUAAAGAGGUAUCGCGAUAAAUGGUACCGUGAAAGGUUGAUCAACAACAAGGAUAGGUCCAACUUGAAACGAGCAAUCUGAAGUCCUGUAUUUGUUAAAUAAGAGGGGAGAUGAUUUUUGUUCUAACAGAACUGAAAACGACAUAUCAGGGUCAAUGUAGAAGGUGCAAGCAAGUGCUUACCAUUUUCGCAACUCUUCGUGUAAUAGGCCAAGUGCUUUAUCUUUGCUAACUUCAGUGGUUUCAGAAUCAACAAUAGCUGAUCUUUUAGCUGCUAACAGAACCUCUUCCUUGUUUGGUACAAUUAUAGCUCCAAGACGCCGUUGAUCCUACAUGUUAUUGAUGUCAAACUUAUGGAACGUGAGAGAGUAUCUUAACUACGCGCUCAAUAAUAGCAUCUCACCUGACCAAUGAUAACGAUCUGCUGGAUCAGACUGCUUCCCAUAGCAGCUUCUUCAAUCUCCGAUGGUUCAACAUUCUCACCUAGUUUUUCCACAUACAUAUAAUAAAGUUCAAAGCUGUGGAUUACAAAAUUACUCGUAAGAUGAAACCCGUCUCUAUGCAGUUUACCAAAUAGAACGUCAUCUUCGAUAACAAUCCACACAAUAAAGGCUCUAAUUCCAAAACACAUUACUGACAGAAUGCCAGAACAACGACAAACUUAAUGUUACUAGAGUAGUCCAAGAGCAGACACACUAGAAGUAAUUAUAGCUUACCAGUUGAAAGGACUAUGGUAUCCUUUGCACGGCCUUCAAGGACUAUUGCACCCCCACAAUUACGACUUCUCCCUAUAGAGAGAUCAGGCACAAUCCACCCAAGAUCACCAGUGUUCAGCCAUCCGUUCUCAUCAAUAGCUUGUUUUGUUGCCACCGGAUUCUAAAGAAAAUUUACGAGAUAUUGAUGGUUAAUUAACACAUAUAGCUCAAAAUGACUGCCAAUGAAGGCAAAACAUACUUUUGAUGUCUUUUAUUAUGACCAACACGUAAAAUAGCAACUCUUUUCCAAUAAAAUGAAGCAGUGUCGCAAUAAAAUAAAAGGUAAAGAAAAGUAAUGAUGCCUCGUCAUAGAUGUCCGAGGGAAGACAACAACAUCAUACCCAAUGUAAUCCCACAAGUGGGGUUUGGGAGGCUGGAUGUACGCAAACCUUACCCCUACCUUUGUGGGGUAGAGAGGUUGUUUCUGAUAGACCCUCGGCGUCCAAGGGAAGACAAGAAUAUAUAAUUUCGGAUCAAGCUAUUGCAUUGCACUAAUGGGUCUAACUAAGAGGAACUACAGAACUCAUUAAACAAAAAAAAUAUGCACUAACCUUGUAGUAGCCUUUCAUUAUAAGUGGCCCUCUAGCUUUGACUGUGCCUUUUGAGCCAGGAGGAAGGACUUCAUCUGUUUCAGAAUUUACGACUUUUACCUCUACAUGCCGAAUGGGGCGACCAAUUGAGCCAAGCACCUUCAGAGAUCAACAAGGACUAUGUUAUAUGAUACCACAUUCUGAAGUAUGCACAGCUAAAGCAAAGUAACGAUAGAAACUAGCCUACGAAUAUGAAAAAUACAAAUAGCAUUUUUGUAUGGUUAGAAGCAACAAAUGUGCCAUUAUGAAACAAUUUGACAUGAUGGUUGUGGUAUUAUGACAUCUUCAAUGGAUACAACUCAAUGGUAUUGAUCUGCACCUAUUUCAUAUAAGGCAUCCCUAUAAGAAACAUCAUUAUCAAAGAAGUAGAAUUCUUUCGGUUCCAUAUCUAUAAGAUACAAUACUCACGUUACAUGUAAGACUCCGUGCAGCAAUCACAGGAGCUGACUCUGUCAAGCCAUAUCCAUUCUGAAUCUUUAUGUCAAUUGCCUACGAAUUACAAAACCGCAUAUAAGGAAGGAUCACCAAUCUAAUCGUCUACUUACAAUAAGACUAUAGGAACUACUAACCUCGAAGAAUUUGUCUACAUGGGAAGAAAGACUACCACCCCCGCUUAUGCCAGCCUGUAGAAUGUAAAGGAAGGUAAUCAAUUAGUGUCUUCACAAUCCAGCGGACCUAAGUCACGUUUGCCUCGCAGAAUAUAAGUUCAACAAACAGUAGCAUGGUGUUUAUGGAAAAGAAUAGAAUGUCGUUGUUAACAAUGUCUGAAAAGAUUUAAGCUUACAAGCAUGCAUUUGGGCAAACAACAGCAUGAGUACAUGUAAGCUGCUACUGCAACCUUUUCAAAAUAUUUCCGCUCACAUUAGCGUGAGAAAAACAUUCACCUCUCUCUUCAAAUUUCUUAUUUUACUUUCUUCUGUUUAAAAACUUAAACUUUUUUCUUUCUUUCGGGGAUAGGUAGUGUACCAAAAUGUCACAAGUUUAACAAUGACACAUCCAACCUCAAAAGAGUUGCCUAAAUCAGUCAACUGACUAGUGUCACACACAAUUAUAAGGCCUACAACACAGGCAUUUGUUUUGCUAGUUCAAUAAGUCCUAAACUUCAAAGAUGCACAGGUAAGGAACAUCACAAGUCACUAGCAGUUGCAUAUCAAACCUUUGAAAUACCAAUGCCUGAGUGUAUUUUACUGUAAACAAUUUUCUUGGCCAGCAUAUGUAACGGCAAUAGUAUAGCAGCAAUAGUUUGAGCCCACAACCAGUCAAGCAAUGAUACAAUAUAUGAAGGUUGCUUCGUGUCCUUGGUUAAACAUUUCCCCUGCAUCACAGGCCAUGAAGGAAAAGAGUAAAUCAUGAUUAAAUCAAUGUGCUCACUUGGGCGACAGAUUAUAAUUAUAACCAGAAGUACAUCAAAAAUCAUUCCUCGAAACAAAUUGAAUAACUUACUUUCGUAGUAAGAGAUCAUAGUCAACUGCAAACAUAAACAAACGUGCAACUAGUGCAACAGAAUCCCUAAUGAAAAUAAUAACACAACCAAAAAAAAUAAAAUAUGAUGGAAAAUGAAAUAUGCAAGAAAAGAUACAGUGCAAGCUAUCAAUCCAUUUUCUAUUACAUGUGCAGAUCAUAGCAUCUAAAGUUCAAGAGUUCAAUCCUCGGCAUCCAUUUUAACAGGUAACAGUUUAAAAGUCCUACUAUACGUGUGAGGCAAAAAUCCAGUUGGAGAAGAACAGUAUUAUAUGUGAUCUUCCUUAACUAAGUGGUACAGCCUGAGGCAAUUGUUGAGAGGUUGAGGGAUUGACAUAAAUUUAGAUAGUCAUGAUCAGAAAUCUGUUUAUAAUUGCUAAUCACCCAAUGACAAUGCUCAUACACUCAAUAUGCUUCAGUAUUCAAGUUAUAUAUUUUAAUUCCAAAUAUUGCACCGUAAUUAUACAAUCUGAAGAGUAACUAUUACUUCAAAAUAGAAAAUGUAAGAGUCCAUGCCCACAUACAUCUAAGAACUCAUUUUGUGAAAAAGAUGAUAAGAAUUUUGAAACAGUGUUCUAAAAAUAGAUACUAACACAACUAUUAUAAAGUUCGAGUAUUCCUGAACAAAACUGUGCUUAUUCACUAUAAUAAUGGUGCAUAUAAGCUGAAAACUUAGUACAAUAAUAUAAGGGAUUAACCUCGUAAAUCCUUUUCGCCUCCAUGUAAGCCAUACUGAUCCUUAAAAAUAAUUGGGCAAUAUGUUUACGAGCAGCAGAGUUUGAAUUGAUCUGCUUUAUGAUUCCACUGUAAAGUUCGUAAUCGAUUAUUAUCUAAUAAUAUAGAAUAACCAAAAAAGGGUAUCACAAGAAAUGUUACUAAGCACAAAUUUUUCUAACAAUUUAAGCGCAAGAAAAUCAAAGUUAUGAGAAGCUACGGAUUAUACCUGUAUAACGUCUCAUACACUAGAGGAACACUUAUCAGGUAAUGUGGCUGAUAACGCCGCAAAUCUUCCUACAACAGUAAGAAGAUUGUUGAGGCAGUGGUAAUAACGAUUAAUAAUCGAAGUAUAAAUAUAUUUUAAGGGGGGAAAAUACUGGGGCAGAGAUCAGAUCAAUGGUUUAGACUCUUUCAGAACAUGAGGGCAAAAAAGGGGCACAAAUUGACUAAAUAAGAAACCCAUACAAAAUGCACACACCUUCAAAUUCUUUACGGUUGUGUACACUUGCUCCGUUCCACGUGUGAAUAUGAAAUACUCGCAAGCACGUUCAUAUGCAUGCCAAGGCGGAAGCAUGCUUAAAAAUCUGUCCCCAGGUACAGCAGGCACAAUCUCCCACAAAUUCAAAAUCUAACAAAGAGAACAAAGGGGGUCAACAACUUUACUUACUCAAAAACUAGCAGUACAACAUACUUAUUGACACCACAGAUACCUUUGGAAGUUACAAUAAUACUAAACGAUGGAGAACUGGCCAACCAGAAGAUCAAUAAGAAAAUACCAGUAACAGCAGAAACAUUAUUUUAUAUGUAGAAUGAUAAUAUUACUGUUUUUUUGGUUUUAGUAUUCACUCUGCUUUUGUAAUUAUUAUUUCCGACUGUACAAUAAUUCUUUCUGGUGACGUUUUAGUGACAUUGUAACUCUAUUAUGUGACGUUCUGCUGGUACCCCGCGCCUCUUUACAGUGAUCGCUCUGGUAGAACCACGACUCUUUUACUCUCGUGAAAAUUGUUUUGAUUACUCUAAGUUGUCAAUGCAAGCAACGCUAAUGAUGUCCUAAAGAUUUAUGCAAUGUUACCUCUUCACAAUAACGAAGUAAAGAUCCAUUUAUAUGCCACAAGAAGCACCUCAUUUUUCCUACAUAAUUACCAUCAACUUAAAAGAGAAAAGAAUUUCAUAUUUUUUCUUUUGGUGACUUUUCAUUGUUCUAGCAACAUUAAGACAAUAAGCUCAGUACUCAAGUAUUAGUUUAGUGUGUCAUGUAUCUGAAAUAAGUAAACUCAUGAUGUUUCACCAACUUGAGUUUGAGAACUUCUGGAAGUAAAGAAAAUUGUAAAAUAUCUGGUGUUCCUCGACGAUAAUGUCAUAGCUAAGAAUUCAAAAAUUAGGGUUCUUUCUUUAAAAAACUAUAUAAGGAGCCAGCUUAGUAGUUAAUCUACAAUUCAGCAAGAGUUAUUUUCUCAUUUCUUCCUCUCUCACAAUCUCAACCUACCUUUUUCUCAUUGACGUCUUUCCCCAAGGGUAUUUUAUUCGUUUUUCUCAGAAAAAAUCACAAGAGUACAUAAUCUAUUAAAGCAUUAAUUUUAAGAUGAGAUAGUGCGCAAGUUUAAAGAGAGAUCGGUUCAUCAGUCCUUUUUCCCAAAUUUGAACCUCAAGUUAAUACUUAGCUUCUUUUCAUAUAAUGACGACUAGAACAACAGGAUAAAGGUAAUAAGACACAGAUGAUCCUGCAAAAGUGAAAUCAACUAAAGAAUUCUAAGCACUAGAGUAAAUGUACAAGUGCAAACCUGGUGAAGCAAAUUUUUAUGCGUAAGCAUGACACCUUUUGGAUUACCAGUGGUUCCGCUAGUAUAAACAAGUGUAGCCACAUCAUCAGAGUUGAUUGCUUCAUAUGAAUAUCGUUUUCCUAAAACAAAUUUGUUAGCUACUGAUAUUCUCCCAAUAAGAAUGUGGAACUACAUUACUGGAAAGUGCAACUUCAGAAUCGAAGACAAAAUAAAAAGGUUACCAAACUGAAUAUUGCGUUGAGCAUAUGACUUAUAAACACAUAACUGCUCAAAACAUAUAGGAACGCUAACUAGAUAGGGUGCUCAAAUGUUAUGGUAGUUGUAACAGAAAUAGAAAGAAAAGUUAAAAGGGAAGUAGAACAAUCACAUCGGGACAGAUCACUCGACCAAAAGCUAGCCCCUAUUAAAAAUUGGGAUAAGGUACACUAGCCGAUAAAUUUCCAUUUGUUGUUUUAUUUCACUGGGCACAGAAUCAAAACUCUAGAAGUAAAGUUCAGGAUGACCUUUGCAUAAACCGAAAAAGAAGCAUAAAAGCCAAAUUGUGAUGAUAGAAUUAGCAUGAGGUUCAGGAUAUUGAUUGGCAUGCUGAAGACUCGAAAUUGAAUCUACUAAGUAAUAAUUAUUGUGUUUACACCAGGCAGGAGUUAUCUUUUAUCGUUAGUGUCUCAUAGAGCUCACAGACAUAACAUAUACUGGGAAAGAGUCGGGAAGAUGAACUUGCAACUUGAAGUACCUUUUAGCACAAUUCUGUUCUAAUAAGAUGAUAAAGAAAAGCAGAACGAUAAAAACUAGCAAAAGUACUAGAUGUAUUCCAUUGCAGGAUAAAAAAUCAAGGAAAUUUUUUGUGUGAAGAAAAAAAACCACCAAUAUAUCAUCUUAGGAAAACAAUAAUUAGUUUUAAGCAAGAAAUAAUUUUUUUAAACUUUAAUGUAAUUUAUAUUAUGUCUCUUACAGUAAAUGUCUUACUGGCAUCUUCAGAAUCAAGUAGAUCCACACGACUCUUGUGACCCAAUUCUACAAUCUCCUUAUAAGUAUAUAUAGGAUAUCCCUGUCUGGCUUCUGUUACAAGGCUAGACUUCUCUCCCCAAAGUAAAAUAACAAAUCGUAGAGCUGCAUGGGAGCCAAAGGUGUCUGCAAUCCGGUUGUACAUCUCAGGAUUGUCAAUAGCAAGAGCGACACUGGCAAGGCAAUGAUUAAAAUGAUAAUGAUAAUAAUCUUAUCACAGUCAAAAUGCAUGCAGAAGAAAAUUGUUUUUGUUUUUGGGUUUAAGAUGGAUAUUGUGGAGUACAUUCGACAAUACCUUCUUUUUAUCUUUGGAGAAAAACAUUUUACUAUUAAAAACACUGGAAAAUGAAAGAUGAGAAAAAGAAACCUGAAAUUAAAGAAUAAAAAGAGAAAGCAAAAUGCAGUAACAAAUAGAAGUUCUUUAAACUUGUUGCUGGCGCACACAGCAGAGAUAACUACUUCGUCGCUGCUGGUGCAAAAAAUAAACAACGGGAAACACAUGAUCCUACACUGUGUGCACAAGUUGCUUGCAAAAGUUUAUGAAUAGAAGUCAACCACAUAAACUACGUAAUCUUCUAAUCAGAUAGAACAAAUCUAGCCAACAUAAUCGAUCAUGGAGGCAUCUUGAAGGCCAUCAAGAUGUCCAUUUUAUUUGUUUAGUUCAUCAGCUUCAAAAAUGUAACCAGUAUCAACUACAUGUCACUACACCGAACAAGAUUUUCUUAAAAUAAUAAACAAAUAUAGUGAAACUCGGAUAUGAGCAGCAGACAAAUGUCCAAACGAUUUUAUUUCUAUGAUACAACAAACUUUUAGGGAGAUAGUGUGCUUCUGAAGGUAGAGUUGUUAUUCUAGAAACAAAAAAGGUUACUUAUACAUGUAAAGGCAAAGACAUAAGACCUAUCAUGCUGUCAAACGAGGAUAUAAUACACAUAUACCAAUCUGUCAAGAGAUCUUUCAUUUUGUAUUGUAGUCAAUAACAGUAUCAACAUGUUCAAAAAUGAGAGGCAGGGAAAAAACUAAUCAGGAAAAACAAACGAGAAGAAAGACAGGUAGAACCAGUAAAAUGCUCACUGACAGGUUAAUAAGAACAACCAACGAAUACCUGCACUAACCUUUCAGAGUGGCUGUAUAACUGCAAUAGCUCUUGAUCUGAUGACCUUGAACCCCUUACAACAUUAAUAGCCCCGCUUGCCAUCAUACCUAAAAGAAUAUGACACUUUACAACAGAGCUUCCAAAUAGAUUGAAUAUAAUCGAGGAUUCAGGUAAAAGACUAGUGUAAACAGUUUCGGUUCUUGUUUCUCCUGCUGGUAGUACUAGUAUUAUUCUCGGUACCUUAAGUACUUCAGUAUUUCUGUAUUACUCAUUCUUAGGUUUCUAAUGCUACUUGUUGUUUCUCAUGCCUCUAAUUUCCAAAAUUCUGUAAUUCCGACGACGGGAGCAGGAAACAGAAGAGAAAAAGGUAAUGUAUAAAAAAUAAAGCAAAAGAUUCACCAUUUCUAGAAUCUAUGGAUGGUGUCAAUUGAUUUACCUUGAUCUGCAACAAGCCAUCGACAUGAAUUGUCAGCAAAGAGUGCAAUCUUUUCAUGUGGCUUUAGCCCAAUAACUCUCAAGCCUUCGGAGAAAUCCACAAUUUCCUGAUCAAGCUGCAAUUUUUGGCAAUGCAUUUAAAGAAAAUACAGAGAAUAGGAGAGCUGAUAACAUAGUUGAACAUACUUAUUUUCCCAAUUAUCUAGUUGCCUCUUGCAAAAACAUGGAUAAAGUAGUAAAUAUAAAAGCCAGGCAUCCAAUUACACCCAAAACAGAUUUUUAACUACGAAUACCACAAUUUUACCACAGAUUUUUACUAGAAACAUUAACAUUAGAUUAAAUUAAAAGGAAAUUGCAAUGUGAAAUUUCUGUUCCCUCACAGAUUUUCAACUCUUUAGAUCACCUCUAGAAGCAUUCAUGAUACUGUUCAUAGACAUCAUAUUCAGAGAUAUUAAGUUAAAAAUAAGAAAUCAAAUUCUGCCACUCAUUUUUCGGAACAAAAGAACUUAGUAUAUACGACAAAUUUACCCGAAAGAAAAGGAAGACUGACUAACUAAUGUUGAAGCAAAUCCCUAAAGUCAAAGGCAAGGCCAUACACCAUUUGUUUUGUCCCAUGUAAGAGCAAUCAAAUAAUUGAGCAAAAGACUAGUAACUCUAAACCAGCAAUGACUGAUAAAUACUAGAAAAGAAGAUCGUAACUACGGACUCAUGUUGAUAAAAUUUGUUCCUAGCAGGUACUUACAAAUGAAAGAAAGGGAAGCUCAUGCAUAUCGAUAACAAGAUGGAUAGUCUCAUGCAGUCACCAACAGUGAUCCACUACAUAAACUUGUGAAAGCAACUACCAUUCUAGAGAAAAGGCUCUCAAAUAAUAGAACUCAUGGUUGACCUGUUUAUAAGUCAUGGUUGUAGGAGGAUCAUGAUAUGGGUCCACGACUGCUACACGAUCACCAAAUUUCUCUGCUGAAGUCCGCCAAAUGUCGGGAACGGUUCUCCACUCUGUCAAGGGCAACCCACCAUUACCUGACAGCAAUUCACUUUCCAGAAAAGGCGAGCACUUCCUGAUAUCCACUUCUGCAGUCUGGAACAAUGAUUUAAUGAAUCCCAUAAAUAGAAACAUAAUAGAAGCAGUGUUAUCAAAAGAGAAAGGCGCAAAAGUAAUUCUAAGGUCCUUUGGGGCUUUAAGUGAAAGCGCAAAUAAAGUACUGAAAAAAGGUGUAAAUGGAGCAAAACUACAAAUAUGUAUGUGUGAAACUGUGAAUAGAUAGAAACCAUAGAUGCUUGAUGGAAAAGAAUAUAUAUCUCUUGUAAAGUUCAAAUAUCUUCAAAAUCAUCGUUUGUAGGUUCAAUAGUGUAAACAAAAGAGAUGAUAUCAUAAACAUAAUCGACUCCUUAUAUCUGUAAAAGGAAUCGGUCCAGUACUUCGACAGAUAAUAAUCAGACCUGCUAGGUGCUGCUCUAACUAUCAAUGAAAUUAAUGUACUUACAUUAGAACAUUAUUGCAAGAACGAUACAUGAAAUGCAUCAGACACAAAACUGUAAGUUGGAGGCUAACUAAACUUAGUUGGCAUUAACAAAAUUUCAUUAAAACACGAAAUAGGGUACUGAAAUAUCCAUUCAAGAAAUCUCCACUCCAAAUGCACUUAAUGCUGUUUAUACUUCCAAAGCUUAAGUCAAUUACAGCAACUAUACUUUCAAAGCUGGACUCAGUUAUAACAAAUAGGAACAACACUGCACCAUUAGUAUACAACAGUGAUAACUGCUCCCUCUGAUGUGAGACGCUUACGUCCCAAAAAAUGACACCUUUCUAUUACAAAGAAAUUACUCCCUCUAUCCCAAUUUAAAUAUCUUACUUUCCUUUUCGAUUUGUCCCAAAAAGAGUGUCAGUUCCUGUACUUAGUAAGCUUUUCAGUUCCAAUAUAUAGUGCAUAUAUCAGGGACUGCACACAUCUCAUUUCUUAAACUGCAUGCCAACUCAUUGGAACGGAGGGAUUAAUUAACUUUAAACUUCAAAUUUUACCCUUAAUGACAUAAUUUGCCGUCAGACAGAUGUCUAUGACGUGUCUUGAC